AUAGGAAUAGAAUGAGAAAGGAGAAAACAACUCUAAUCUUCACAACUCUCAUUGGCUUUAUUUCUCUGUAUUUUCUCUUUUGUUGGGGUUGCCUCCCAUCUGUUUCAUGAUGGUUGUAGUGUUGAAUUACUUCUCUUGUUUCUCCCUUUGUUCCUCUCUCAUUUCUCCCCCUCUUCUCUUUGGUUUUUCCAAUGUCUUUUUCUUGUUUUCCUCUCUGCCUCCGACUCUGUCUCUCCUCUCUUUCUCUUUCUCUUUCUCUCUCUCUUUCUCUUGCGUUUCCUUUGUUUUUCCGUCUUUUUUUCAUUGAUUUGUGUGGAGAGGGAAAUUCACCACCACCUGCCCUUUGAUGGCCUUCAAAUAAGUCAUUUGCUCUACCUUGCUAUUUCCUAUGGUUAAAUUUCCAUUCUAUAUUUUUUCUUUCCUUUUUUCUAUAAUAACAUUUGUUGGAAUUGGAAUUUUUUCCCACCCAUAUAAAUCAUUAUAAACUUUUAUAAGGAUGUUAUAUGAAAAUAGAAAUAUAUGACACUUACUUUUUAAUUAUUUUUUUCUUAUUUUAUAGUAUUGUUUUUCCUUUUAUAAUUACAAAAUAGAUGCCAAUUAUAUAAUUUAAUUAUUAUUUUUCCCAAAUAGAAAAAAUUACCUAAUUCAACUGUUAUUUUUUUUUCAGGUAGCAAAAAAUUUAUGCAAUCCAAUUAUUAUUAUUUUCCAGUUCUUUUAUGGAAUUAUUAAUAUGAUUCUUUGUGAUGUAAAUGAAUUUAUCCUUUAUUUAUUAUACAUAUAGUUUAAAUUAUUUUAAAUAUUUAUCACCUAUGAAAAUUGGAGUCUUAAAAGGCUUAUGCCUCGCCUUGUGGGCACCAAAACACUUUGCCUUGCGCAUUUGCGUUUGAAAACUUCGAUAAUAACCACUAAGAAAACUGGUGUCUGGUUGAUUGUAAAUAAAGUGACAUUUAAGGUCUACAUAAUUAGAGCCUGGGAUAGCUCCUUAGUGAAGAUACUUUUUUAGCUUCAAAGUUCAACAUCAUGGGUAUUGCCUUCUGACUCGAAGGUAAAAACAAUGUUUGUUGACUUGAAACUUUAAAAGGCUUAUACCCUAAUGCCUCAAGGCUUAUGCCUCGCCUUGUGGGCACCAAAACACUUUGCCUUGCGCAUUUGCGUUUGAAAACUUCGAUAAUAACCACUAAGAAAACUGGUGUCUGGUUGAUUGUAAAUAAAGUGACAUUUAAGGUCUACAUAAUUAGAGCCUGGGAUAGCUCCUUAGUGAAGAUACUUUUUUAGCUUCAAAGUUCAACAUCAUGGGUAUUGCCUUCUGACUCGAAGGUAAAAACAAUGUUUGUUGACCUAAAACUUUAAAAUGUUGAAACCAAAGCCUCAAGGCUUAUGCCUCACCUUGUGGGCACCAAAAACACUUUUGCCUUGCGCAUUUGCGUUUGAAACUUUCGAUAAUUAACCACUAAGAAAACUGGUGUCUGGGUCGAUUGUAAAUAAAGUGACAUUUAAGUCUACAUAUUAGAGCCUGGAAUACUCCUUAGUGAAGAUACUUUUUUAGCUUCAAAGUUCANNNNNNNNNNNNNNNNNNNNNNNNNNNNNNNNNNNNNNNNNNNNNNNNNNNNNNNNNNNNNNNNNNNNNNNNNNNNNNNNNNNNNNNNNNNNNNNNNNNNCCCCCCCCCCCCCCCCCCCCCCCCCCCCCCCCCCCCCCCUUUUUUUUUUCUUUUGAUAGGUUAAAAUGUUGAAACCCUUGUUCUUUUGGUUACUGCCAAUGAUAUAUCUGAAUGAUGAUGUGUUAGGAUAUGAAUAAAUAUUCGGUUUAACUCCUAGAUAUCUUGAACCCCUAUAAUCAAAAUUUUAGUUGAGUUAAAAUAAAAAAGCCAUAAGCCUGGCUGGAAAUGGUUAGGGCAAUCUUUUUGCCAAUGGUAUAUCUGAAUGAUGAUGUGUCAGGUUAUGAAUAAAUAUUCUGUCUAAUUCCUAGAUAUCUUCAAGGGCAGUUUUUUCCUCUUUUCUCUUCAUGCAUACUGGCUUUGUUAUUUUAGUUUCUCUAAGUAUGUUUUUUUUGUCAGUCCAGUCUAGAUAUAGUAAAUAUAGAAUGGUGAAUAAGCUUCAGUGGAACACAAGGCUACUUCAAAAAAAAUAAUACUGGACAUGUAUGGUUCAAGAAACAUAUCUAUUGUUUGUGUUCUAUUAUCAAUUUGAAUGAUUUGGCUGGCUAUACUUUUUUAUUUUUUUCAAGUUCCAUGAUGAAGUUAUACAAGAUUGAAUCAUUAUAAGGUCCAUAUGAUUUACAUGGAUAUGUCAGUAUAGAUUACAUGUAUAGCAUUUUUUUAUCGGUACCUGAGAAUUCAUUGUAAUCUAAUUUCAGCUUUUCUUGUUUCACUUACGUCUUCUAUAUUUUAAGGUUUUUUUGUGUGAGGAACUGAAUCCACCGGUGUCCAGGAAAAGCAUUUUCUUGCGCAUCAAUAUAAUUAAUAUACUUGAGAAAAUCUUUUUAAAAUUUUUGUUUCAUCAUCUUGUCUGAAAUAGGUUGCACAGCUUAGAAUAACACCUCGAGUUCUAGUUGGUCACAGCUUUGGAGGAAAAGGUAAGUUAUAACUAGUCUAACUUAUUCCAAUUCAUGGAUGAUACAUGAUGAUUAAAUUAUAGAUUUUUUUGCUAACUGCUUAAUCCACUCCCUAAAUUUUCAUGCAGUUGUCUUGAGCAUGGUGGAACAAGCUGCAAAACCUCUUGCACGACCAGUCAGAGUAAGUUUGAAGUCUGCUAGAAAUUGUUAAGGUGGUUUUGAAUUUUGGUAGGGUGAAAAAUUGUGUCCCCCCACCCCACCAAAAAAGGAGAAAACUUUGGUUAUGUAGACAUUGAAUAAUGUAAAGAUUAUGCCAGUUUAAGAAACACUGAACUAAAUUAUCAAGUGAAGUUAUGUUAACUUUGAGUUCAAGGUGAAAUCUGGUAAUUCCAGAACUGGUAAUCUUCAUGAAAUUUGAAUUGUGGUUCAAGCAAUUAUGAUCUAUUAUUCUUUUUUUUUUUUUUUAAUUUUAUAAUCUAUUUUUAUUAGGUUUGGGUUCUAGAUGCAACUCCUGGGAAAGUUCGUCCUGGUGGAGAUGGAGAGGAUCAUCCAGAGGAACUAAUAUCUUUCCUUAGUAAAAUGCCCAAUGAGGUGAAUUUCUGGUCCAUUGUUGUUUUCCUAUUUUUAAUAUAAUGAGUUCCAUUGGAGACAUAAACAUCUAAUUGGCAUCUUCGUACGGUGUAUUUCUUUUCUUUAUGUUGAAUUAAAAAAUUUGUAAUUUCCAGAUCAGUCAACCAAGUUGUGGAGCAACUACCUCAACAACUGAGGCUUUUUUUGGGGACCUCUUGCCUCCCGUAGUUACUUUUCUUGUUGAUCUUGUAGUUAUUGCUGUGCUACCAUGUUUCCUUAUUUGUUGGUUGUACUCCUGCAUUUUCUUUUUCUGAAAUAUUCGUUCCAAAGGGCCAAAAUAUUUUCUACUUUGAAAAAGAACCUCCAUGUUUUGAAAAUUGUAAAUGUAACCUCAAAUGUACGAAAAUGCCCCUUACCUUCCUUUGUAAAAAAUGCAUUGAUGUGAAAUGGGUAUAAAAAGUUUGAUGAAGGGUUUUUUGGUCCAAAAGGGUUAUUUUUUUGUGUUUUGGAAAAGUGGAGGGCAUUUUUGUGAAAUAGGGUCAUAUUUUGACCCUUUUAAUCAAAUAUCCACUUCUUUUCUUUUUUCUAUUCUCUUGCAGUCUUCUAGUAGUCUCUGGUAUUCAAGGAUAAGUCAUCCUUCCUUGGAAUUUUUACCGAUAAAUAGUUAGUUUUUGACAAAUGGAAGAACUAUUCUUAGGUGUUAUGUGUCUUAACGGGUUUUCACUAUUUUGGUCUUUUUUAUUUUUAAUUUUUUUAUUUUAGCAGUUUAGUAUCUUACAUCAUUAAGUUUAUGUUUGGUUCUUGAUAACUACUAAGAAAAGGAGGGAACAAAAAAACCAGGGAAAAUAAUUUUCUCAUGUUUAGUUUACCGUGGAAAAUGUAGAAGAAAAUCAAAUAUAAUUAAAAUUAGUUAGAAACUUCUAUAUUUUCAAAUUAUUUAAUCUUUAUAUAGACAAGAAAAAAUAAGUGAAAUGAGCUUGGAGAAGUGUGUAAAAAUAAUUUAUUAACUCUACAUAUGUUUUUCAUUUUUCUUCACUUUUUCUUUUAGUCUAUUUUUCCUUUCUUUUUUCUUUCUCUCACAUUGUCUUCAAAUUUUCCAAGAACCAAACAUGGGGUAAUGAUUCCUUAUUCUCUCUUCCAAACAAAAAUGCUACUCCCAUCCAGUUUUUUUUUUCUUUGAUAGGAAAAAAGCAUAAAUAUAUUAGACAUGCCUAAGAAAAGGCGCAUCAAUGGACACAUGGUGUAUACAUAUGACUCCCACGAAAGGCGUGCUGAAAAAGGAGGGAAAAUACAAUAGACAACCAUUAAGCUUAGCCAAUCAACAAAGUUAGUCAUUGAGCUACUCCAAUCUUAUGUCAUGUUUUGUUGCCUAUCUUGUGAAGGAGAACGUAUUUAAUAGAAGUUGCAAUCUUAAAAUAAAUGAAUAACUAAAUGACAUGUGGCUUUACAAUCAUAGGUCUUGCGGUUAGUUAGGAAAAACUUAGAGCUUGUUUAGAAAUGAUUAAUAUAAAAACGCUUUUGUCAGUAACGCUUUUAUCAAAAGCACUUUAAUGAAAAAUAAUUAGUGUUUGGAUAUAAACAACAGAAAUAUGCUUUUGGUCAUGUUUUUGGGAAUUAUCAAGGGAUACUUUUGGUAGAUGUUUUAUUUGAAAUUCAAUUGCCUCUUUUUUUUUUUUUUUUUCUUUUUUUGAGAAAAGCACAUGUCAAAUGCAAGUGCAAGAAACAAUUCAACUGAUUUUCUAUACUUUGAAGUGUUCUUUAAAUUUUUUCCAAAUGCCUCAUUUUUAUAAGGAAAGCCCUCUUUGAAUCACUCCUAAAUGGACUCUAGGUGUCCAAUCCAUGAGUGGACCAAGUUAGUUCAAUUCUCUACCUAUUGGAAAUAGGACCAGACGAACAUUGGUGGAGAACCAACUCAAACCGAAGAAUUGAGUCUCAGUUGAAUUGGUUUGAAGGUUGAUGCAUCCUGACUUGCACCUUUAAUAUGCUUAGCCCAGUAGUUUGUAUGUGCAAAACAUUAACCUUGGGCUGAGUUGCCAGUAUAUAAUUUCAUGUACAUAAGUUUUUUCAGUGAAUAUCAGUUGCAUUUGUCUUCUGAAACAUUGAUGUAGUUGAAAUUUUAAUCCUGGAGUUCAAAAAGAUAUGCAUUUGUGCCCUUCAUUAUCAGAGUUUCAUUAUUAUUUUGGAGUAUGACUGGAAAAUCUUAACUCUGGUGGAGAAUCAUUUGUUACCAAUUAUCAUUCCUCAAAUGUGGGCAGUUUGAUUUCCAAAUAAAUACAAUUGUUGCAUUAGUAAACCUUUGGUCUUUCUGUUGUAUUAUUUUUAGUUUAUUAUUACUAAUCAUCAUGUUUGUCAGAAAAACAAAAAAAUUGUUACUAAUUGUCAUGUUCACUCUACUUAUGUAUGAUUAUUCCAGUAAUCAGCUUUUAUAAUUUUUCAUGUCAUUUGUUCCUUGUUGCAGUGAACCAAUUUUAAGCUUUAUAAUAUUUAAUUUAUCUUGUAAAAUAUUUUCCUUUUUGGGCAUGAUUAUGAGCAUCUUAUAAUCUCUUCUUUAUGGAAGGUGUUUUCAAAGCGGGAUGUUAUGAAUGCUCUUAUUAAAGAAGGAUUUUCCAAAGAUGUGGCACAGGUAAUAUCAAACAUACAAGCUAAUUUGGUUUUACUUAGAUCUCAAUGGUUUACUUUCAAGUUGGGAUGGUGAAACUCAUGAUGAAUAGAAUGUUAUAGAUUUUCUCCAUCUUUUCCUAUUUUCUUUUCUGGUCUUAGCUUAGUUUUUUUGUUGUUAAAUUUCAUAUCGUUGGUGAUUUCCAAAACCUUGGUAAAUUUUUGGUCAUGUUGCUUUUGUCCUAGGAUACAUUUAUUCUAGACUACAACACUGCCAGUUUGAAUGUGCAACAUUUCUGUUGACCAACUUGACAAAUGCUAUUUGGUUAAUGGUUUGGUAAGUCUUAUUAUUGUGGAUGAGAUGAAAAAAAGAUUAUGAGUGCUGCUUAAGCAAUUAGUUUGUUGCAUCAAGAUAUUUUUAAAACAUUAAAGCUUGUAGUAGGGAAUUAUUGUCGCUUUUUUGUUCGAUCUUUGAAUUAUUUUUUCCUUUUUUAUUUUGAAUUUCUUAUACAUCCCCCAAAAUUUUAUGUUCUUCUCAUUUUUGUUCUCACGUCCAGUGGGUGGUAACAAACCUCCAACAGACCAGUUCCCCUGGUUCAUCAUCGCCAAGCUUCUCAUGGGUGUUUGACCUCAAGGGAAUUGCUGAGAUGUAUCAAUCCUAUGAAGAAACAAAUUUAUGGUAUUCAUGUUCAGAACUUGUUUUUCAUCUUGAAUUGAUGUCAAAUCUCAUAUUAUUCUUCUAAAUACGGCUUAUUUCUGAAGAUCUUCUAAUUUGAUAAAUUAAUAGCAAUACCACUGACUUGUUAGUAGACUCUGACAUGGGUUGAGGUAGCAAUACCACUAUCUUUGCAAGGGUUGAGGUAGGAGUUCAACUGGGGGUUGGAGUUGGUGGAGUUCUUUAUGGAUGAGGCUUGUUGAUGUGGAGAUUAGGUGAAAUGGAAGGGUUUAAAAGAGGAGAGGUUUUCCUUAGAACUUCUUUUGAUUUGAUAUCGGUAGGAGUAGUUGUCAACUGCCCUGCUUUAGAGACUUGGAAAACUGCCAACACUCUGAAAGUGGCCUAUCUUUUAUCUUGAUGGGAGGAUAGGAGAGGAUUUUGACACCAAAUCAUUUGGUGUGCAGAUGGAGGUACUUGGCAAAUUGGUGUUGCAUGUGCAGACAUGGAGUCAGUUAACCAUCUUUUGAGCCCUUGUCCUGAUGCUUGGGCUUUUGGGACUGGUUUUCAUGCUUUUUUGUAGUUUCUUGGGUGCUUCCAAGAACAAUAGGAGAGCUACUUGUGAAUUUGUUUGGAGAUAUAGGAGGCAAGAGUGGAGUAGUGUUCCCUUCAAGUUAUAGGGGAAUGAAACUCCUGACAGCAGACUAUAAGAUUGUUUUAAGAUCUUUGCAUGCUUUGGACAGAGGGUGAUCUUUUGAUCUGGACAUGCUCUUUUAUGAGCUCAUAAAUAGUUUAGGUUAUACACAGGUUAAGAAGCUAUUGGCUUUUGUUUGCUUUGUUUUCUGUCCUUUUUUUUUUUUUUUUUUUUUUGCCUUAUUUUCUUCUCACUUCCUGUGGGCUGUCCAUAUAAACUGCCUGUGCCCUUCGGUUGCACUGCCCUCAAUGCUUUUCUAUUACAUUUAUUUUCCUAUUAAUGGAAACUAUGUUGACAUCUUGCAAUUCUUGGAGGUUAACCUAAAUACAAUCUUGCCUUUUAAACCCUUGCUUCAAGCGCUAUCCAAGCUUUAGGUCCCUAACCCAAUCUCGACUCAAGCUCAUCUUUUCUGAGCUCCGGGUCAGGCAGGUCCUAGUUAUUAGGUUUUGAUUAGGUUAAAUGACAGAGGGAGAGAAAAAAAAAAAAGAAGAGAAAGACAAGCAAUGAAGACAGACAACCAAGAACACAAUUAUUGAUAUGGAUGCAAAAAGGCUUGCAAGUAGGAUUAACAACAUUCCCCUUGCAUAGUUGAUUCGGAGGCAGUAGGGGUUUAGCUUUCAGGCCAUGGUACCGUUGUAGUUGUCUGGAUAACAAAGAUGAGGGUUCUGGGACUUCAUGCCAGGUGUGGGUCAUGAUGAUGUGGUCUAGGUUUGGUGUUUGGGUAGGUGAGGUGAAGAAGAGUUUUUCAAAGGUUGAUGGUGAUGGAAGUGAUCCAGAGUGUGCUGUAAUUGGCAGGUCAUUAUAGUGAUAUUACCGUGGAAGAAGUAUAGCAAUUAUAGAGGAAAAACUCCAACCCUAGACAGACAUUGACUUCAGGCUGAGGUUUCUGGGUUUCUUUGGUGCUUUAACCUGUAAAUUUGGCACAUGGACCCUAAUGCUAGCCCUAGAUUGAUUCAUACAAAACUGGCUGCAAUCUGUUCAAUUACUAUUACUUUUGUUUGAUAGUAAUAAUAACUAAUUGAUAAGAUAGAUUAGGUUUAGAAAAGCCUUUUGCCCUGGCCCAACCUGGACUGAGGUUGCGUUGAUGUUUCUUUAGAAAAGUUGCAUUUGUAUGAUAGUGGGAUUUACCAUAUUCGAGUAUAGAGAGCCGAAAAAGGGCACUUCCCAUGGACAUGUUCCUCUCAAAUCCUUUUCUUGGACCUGUUCUUCCCGAAUCCCACCUUGGGUUUAUCAUCUCUUUUCCUUAUCCUUCUAUUGUCAUCGACCGAAGCUAAAUGGGUGUUAGGAUUUACCAAACCGGUGCACUGAAAAACUGAGCUGAUGACUGGCAACUAACUCUUAAAGCAAGGAGUCAGGAUGGUGAUGGGAAGUUCUGGGAUUGAUUACAUGUACUAACCAGAGAAAAAAAAUAGUUCCAUAUUAAAAAACUAUAAAAAAUAUAAGAAAUAGAGAAAUACUUGGCUUGUGACAAGAGUGCUUUUACCCAUUUGCCAUAUUGACCCUGUUUUGACCAUAUUACCUCUUAAUACUUUUUAAAAUUCAUGCAGGAAUAUUGUGGAAGAUGUACCACGGGGUGUGCAUGUGAAUUUUUUGAAAGCAGAAAGGAGCUUGCACAGGUGGGCCCUUGAGGAUCUUCAGAGGAUUCAUGCUGCUGAGGAUCUGGCUGCUGAUGAAGGUGGUGGAGUGGAAAUGCAUGUUCUUGAAGAUGCUGGUCAUUGGGUAUGUGGCUCUCACCUGCUUCAAUUCUUACAAUUAUCUUCUGAACCACCUAGUAUACACUUUACAGGUGUGCUUAUGCUUGCAUUUCUUUUAACAAAAAAGGGGAAAGACCUCCCUCAGUCAGCUGGUCUAAAACAAAUUGUUCACCAUAAAACACAAAUCAAAUGGCUUGAUGGUCCAGCUCAACUGGAUUAGUGGUGAUAAAAAAUGGUCUAAAAUGAAAUUUAUGAAUAAAAUGGACUGUUUGUUGCUUAAAAUCAUGAAAUAUGUCUUCUGAAAAAUCUAUAGUUUUAGCAAGGUUGAGGUUUCUUUUCCUAUAGUUGUUUUGAUUGCUAUUAUUUGGAAACUAAAUGAAGAAACUUAUAUGACUUCCUUUGCCAACCCCAGCCCCUUGUGAUUCCCAAGUCAGUUACCUUUUAACCCAAUACUACUACCAUAAGUUCAGUCUUUUUUGUCAAAAGACUCUUAGCCUUUGCUUAGCAAACAGUUUCAUCCGAAAAUGUAUCAAAUGGAAAUAGCGUCCCAUGCUUCUGGUGUUGGCUUAGGUAGGAUUGUAUUAGAAUCAUCUAAAGACAACUUUAAUGGCUGUUCAAUCCUGGAAUCACUAAUUUCUUUAUAAUCCUUGGCAGGUGCACGCUGAUAACCCAGAUGGCCUCUUCAGGAUUCUCUCCUCUUCCUUCCAAGGAAUCAAAACCUAACGAACUCCCGAAUUUUCACUCCGGUUCAGUGUCAGCAUUCCUCAAGUUUUAACCAAUCGUUGUUUACCGUCUUCAUACAUUUAGCUUUUCUUUUCAAAAUUUCUGCAUUUGUUUGUAUCAUAAUAGUUGUGCAUAUUCUUUUCUUCCCAUGUCUGUUCACCACAAGUCAUCAUUGGUUUGUCCCAAUACUAAAGUGACCACUUCUUGAAUCAAUCAGUUUUGUAAUGCAUAGCAAAGGUUUUAUAUACCAUUAGGAUCACCAUCAUGGAAGUCCUGAAUAAACGCGUUCGCUGGCUGCCAAAAAUGGAUUCUGGGAAAAUUCUUUGAAAUUGCAGUAGCUGGAAGGAAACAGGAAGGAGGGAAAAAAAGGGGAAAGAAAAAGAAAAACUGGUUAUCGGCUCAAAGGAGAUGAGACAAGGAGACUUCCUAUACGUAUCUUUGGUUUCUAGUGCUUCAUUUGUACUGCUGGAGUAUGUCUCAUUUGAAUCAUGUCAACAUAUAGUGAAUCAUGUCAACAUAUGGUUUUUACCCAAUAUUUAUGUCUCAUUUGAACGAGUGCCUGGUGUUUUUUUUUUUUUUUUUUCAUUUUUCUAAGAAUAUUAAACUUGAUAUUAUAUCAUAAGGAAAAGAGAACAUCUUGAUGAUACCCUUAUUUAUGGAUGUAAAAAUGAAAUGCCCUCAAAAAACCACUCUUCAUAUCUACUUUAUGCCCCCCAAGAUUUAUAGCAAAACUGACCCACAAGUUACAACAUUAGCAACCCUUGACUGGUGCUUCUGCACUAGGGUUUGGUUUCCCUGUAUAAUCUCAUCAUCGGCCUUUCUUAUAUGGUAUACAUGCAUUGCAUGUGCUCCUUCUAUUUAUGUUGAUAUAAUGAUAUUAUCAGCCUGAAAGAAGUGUAAAAAAAAACUGAGGAAAGACCACCUCAUUUAACCACCACAGCAGCAGUGAUGCCGGACAGCGAAAACUUGUUCCAGGGUUGAUCCUUGGAGGGCUGUUUUCUGUCGUUGUAACCGGACCAUUUCAUCUGCAUGAAGCUGCGCUUCCGCCAUGGCCCCAUGUGGAUCUUCUGCUCCUUCAUGGACCUCUUGGCGGCAUCGCAUACCACACGCAGGAUGGCGUUGAGGUAGUCGGAUUUUCCGAUGUAGGAUUUGGGGAGUUGGGCGAUGAGUCUGCGGUACUCAUCGCAGGCUUUGGCCAUCUCGAAUUCAGUUCGGAAUUCGAGCUCUAUAAGGAAUGGGAUUUGCUUCUUCCUCCCAGGGGUGCUUGCCAUUACCUCUAUAUAUUCAUGUGAUCCUGGAAAUGUAAGAAGGGGAUCAGCUACCACAUAGUAAUGGCAAACAGAAGAUUCCCGUAAUCCAAAUUAGAAUAAAAUAAGAAAAAUCAACAUAAUUACCUCCGGGGAACUUGUGAGUGUGCCUCCACUUGGAAGUACGGAGAGAGGCAGAGAAACCCUUGAGGCAAAGCAAAUCCACCACUCUCCUCCUCAAACAAAGGGCACACUCAUCUGAAUUUGACUUGGAGCAGCUGCACACUAGUGUUUCUCUUGCCCUCUCCACCACUCUCCCUAUCUCUUCCCUCAACUUUGCACCCAUUGAAUUACAUCUUUCCAUUAUUUCCUGCCAAAAUUAAACCAUUUUUUCUAAGCCAAAUUUUAACAAAAUAUUAUUGAUGAAUAGAAAAUUUAUAUUAUUUAUUCAACUUUUUUUAUAAUUUAUUUAAUUAUGUCCAAAUGUUAAGCAAACUCAAUGGGUCAAAAGAAAGUUUUGAGAACCAAGUUGACUAGUAUGGCUUGUAUCAUUAUGAUAAUAAUUAUUUAUUAUUUAUUAUAAAAUUAUAAUAUUUUAAGGUGAUGGUAGAAGCUGACAUGAACAAAGGCUAGGCAGAAUUUUUUUUUUUUUUUUUAUGGAAAAAUUAUUUUGUCAGAAAAUCUUGCAUAUUAUUCCAAAAAUAUGCUGUCAAAUUAAAAAAAAUAAAAAAUAAAAAUGGCAUACCCACCACUAAUUUUUUGGUUAACCUUUUCUAAAUUUAUUUGUGGAGGAGAAGCAAAUGAUUAUUGGCCAUAUAUUUGGCUUUUAACUUCUUCCACAUUCAUAAAGGAAAAACAAAACAAAAAAAAUCUCAAGUCUCUAUCAGUUAAAUAAAAUCCACAUGAACUUCAAUAGAAAAAAAUAUUGAAAGGAAAAAAAAAAUUCCAAUACGAGUUGGCCAGAGGAUGAAAGAAGGAAAAAAAUCAAAGUAGUUGGUGGUGAAUUUUAAGAAAGAUGAUCAUCCAUAUUUUUUGCUACUGAUUUUCUCUUUUGAUGAAUUAAAAAGCUCAAAAUCCAGCAACCCUUUUGAGUAAUCAUCAUAACUCAAUCAUUUCAAUCAAAACAAACACAUAAAAAUUCAUGAGUGAUCUCCGAAAAUUGAAUCCAAACAAGCCUUAUUAUCAGUGAAGAAGAAGAUGACGGAAAAAGAGAAAAAAAAAAGUACCAGAAGCAAAGCCUCUUGUGAAUCCCAGAACUCUUUUCUCUCAAUGGGGUCAUGCAAUUCAUUGUUGGCAGCUUCAUCAUCAGCCCAAUCACCUUCAGAAUUUCGAUCCAGUUCUUCGUCUUCUUCAUCAAAAAACAAUGAGAUUUUCUCUUCGAGGCUGUCCCCGCGUUGAUGAUCAUCUCCAAGAGCCUUCUCUUCAAUAAGAUGCCCCAUCCUCUUGAAGAAGAAGGAAGAAGAAGGUGUUGCCAAGAAGAAAAGGCUCUUGCUGGAGAAAAUUGGCUUGAGGGGUGUAGGUAUAUAUAGUGGGGUGUACAUGUGACAAAAGCUUUGGAAUUAUUAUUAUUAUAAUUAUUAUUAUUAUUAUUAUUAUUUUAAUUAUAAUUAUAAUAAUAAUUAUUAUCAUAUGUUUGGUUUUUAUUAUUGAAAAGAUUUUGGAAAAUAAUAGGAAAGUCCAAUCAGUAAAUUAUUGAUUAUGGAUUGGGUGGUGCGUCAAGCAUCUUUCUUUGUUCAUGUGACUAGACAUGUCACUCACUAAGGCUUAAUCUAUACAUUCAAUCUUAAAAAUUAUUGCAAGAUUAUUGAAAUAAUAAAUGUAAAAAGUUUUUAAUUAUUGAUUUGGAUAAGAAUAAAUCAAAUAAAAAAAAUAAAAAAUCUUAAAACUCUUCAAUUUAUAGAUUUUAUUCUUCACCCUCAUCUUAGGGUAAUUUUUGGGAAGAAAAUUUGUAGCUUUUUGAUUCUUAGAACUUGAAGAACUUUUGUAAAAUGGUUUUGGGAGGAAUUUUGACAUGAGGAUUCUAUUUUUGUAGAAGGGGUACACCUCAAUAGCUUAGACAAAUAUAUUCAUAUAAUAAAUGUCUCAUUUUAUAGAAUUUAUAAUUUAUGUCACUAGGGUCGAUUACGGUUAAAAAAUACUUUUUGGUAUAAUAUUGAAUGGUUUUAUCCAAUUUCUAAUAUCGAGUAAGAUGUAAGUAUAAUCUAAAUAUAAAAAUAUAAUUAAGGUAUAAAAAAAAUCGGGUUAACCUAAAAGGAUUGAUUAAGUACAAAACUUUGGUAUAGUACCUUACUUCUUUUAUAAAAUUUUCGAUUUUAGAUGGAACAUCAAACAAAUUCUCCAUACCUCAAUACACCAAUUCCAUUCAUGAUGCAAUUUACUUUCAAAAUAAAUGGUAUCAUUAAGGCCAUAAACUCCAAAUUUAUCAAACGGCAACCCAUAUUAUAGAUGGUCCAUUUUGUACCUACCCACAUGUCCUUGAGACAGAUGAAAUGUUUUCAAUUUGGUUUUGAGUUGGUCAAAUUUGUCAUUAAGCUAGAACUAAGUUUUAUUAAUUCUAGGGCACAUUUCAAAAUUAAUCAACCUAAUCACUUCUCUUUUUUAGUAUUUUUACCUAAUUUUAUAAGAUGAUGGAGAUACAUAAAUAAAUUAUAGAGACUAUUACUCAAAAUACCUUUAUUUUAAUUCCUUCUAAAUUUGACCAUAUCCCCAAUCUUCCUAAUUUCCUUUUCAAUUUUUUUUUUUGUAAGAUUUAUAAUGGUUAAAAGGGAAGAAAAAAAUAUUUUAUAGUUCAAAUGUUUACUUUUUAUGAAAAAUAUUUUUAAAUGUGUAUAAUAAUUAUAAAAAAUUAGCAAACACAAUUUUUUCAAGUUGGGAACAAUCUAACAUCAUAAAGGAGUUGGAUUUGGAUAAGAUUUAUAUUUGAAUAUUGUUAUAUUUAGAAGCAUUAACAUUGGAAAGGUUUUAAACCACUUAAGAUCUAAAUCAUAAUCAUAAGUUCAUUUAGGGUAUACUAAGAUGGUAUAUUUUUCUAUCUAUGAUUUGAAUAAGUCUCAAUCAUGAAUAUUUAAAGCAUGCUUUGUAGACUAUAGUAGAUGUUUUUUUUUUUUUUUAGAAAAAUAUUUUUUUAAAAAAAAAAAUUGUAAUAUUUGAAUUUUUCAUUAUUAAUGUGAAAACUUUGGCUUUGAUCAUCUAACUUAUCUAAAAUGCUUCUCCAUAUAAAUAUAAAAUUUAGAAGAUUAAUUAUUAGGAAUAGAAAAAAAAGCCUUGGAGAUUUCUCUUAUAAAAAAGAUAAAAAUAUAAAUAUUUUUUUUUUCAAUUUCCACAACAUCAAUUGAGAGAGAAUCAUGAUUUUAAGUUUUAACUUUUAACACUAAAAAUGAUAAUGUCAUGAUUUCAAUGUGUUUCAAAGAGAAAAAUGAUAAUCUCAUAAUGAAAUUGUUGUAAACUUAAAUUUUGAUUUAUGUGUUGAAAAAAGAUAUGUAAACUUACAAAAUUUUAAUUUUUUUAUUAUUAUGAACUCUAUAUGUUGAAAGAAGAGAGAGCAAGACUUAAAAUUUCUAAUUUUUCAUUAUUAUGAAAUCAAUACAUUGAGAAAAAGAAGAGGGAAUUAAAAACAUUUUAAUUUUUUAUCGCUCCAAAAUCAAUACAAUGAGACAAAAAAGAAAAAAGAAAAAAAAGAAGAGAAUCCUAGUUUCAUUGUUAUGAUUGAUCAAUGAUUUAAAAAAAAAGCUUGAACCUUGGAGAUAUUUCUUAUAAAAAAAUAAAAAAAUAUUUUAAAUUUUUUUUCACAACAUCAAUAAAAAUAAUAAUCUCAUGAUUUUAAUAUAGGUUUCAACAAGAAAAAUGAUAAUUUCGUGAUGAAAUUAGAGUAAACUCAAAUUUUGAUUUGGUCUAUAUAUGGAAAAAAGAGAUUUAAUGUUACCAAAUUUUAAUUUUUUAUGAUUAUGAAAUCAAUAUAUUGAAGAAAAAGAAGAAGAAAAAGAAUUAUAAUUCUUAUUAGUAUGAUUUGUCAAUGAUUGUUAAAAAAAGCUUUAAUUCAAUUUUUUUUCUUAUUUUUAAUUUGCUUUAAAUGUUUAAAUUUAAUAUUCCAUAUACUUUAAUUGCUUGCUUAUUAUUGAAUUACAUGUAUUUUAUUUAAAAAAAUUAUUUUCAUAUGUUUUACUUUUAAUUACAAUACGCAAGUUUUAAAUAUCAAAACCAUUUUUAUAAUAAUUAUUAUCAUAUUUUAUAGUAUUGAAUGUAUCCAAGUCAUAAAUAAAAGGAUAUUAUAUGUAUUUAGCUUUCAGAUUUUUUUAUACUUUGCUUUUUUAUAUUCAAAAUCCAAUAAUUUACUUCCUAAAAUAAUUAAACAAUAUAUAAACCUGACCUAAAAUAUGAUGCUAUAAUAAUGAAAUAAAGAAAUUAGAACCCUUAUAACAAUUUGCAUCAAUUUUUAGACACGAUUUUAGAAAUAUUUAAUAAUUUUGAAAAAUAAAUUAUUUAAUUUUAAACACAAGGAAAAAAAAGAAAAAAAAAAUGAAAGAAGGUAAAGGACGAAGCGGGUAAAGUAUAUUUUACCCAACAAAACAAAGUGGCAUUUGUUUAAUAAAAUUUCAUAAACUUGAAUCAUUAUUAAUAGUUGGUUUUUGAAAUUAUUGUAUGAAGGGGCCACUACCAAGUUAUGUUUUUAUUUUUAUUUUUUUUAAUUGCUAAAAGAAAUAGUAUUUAAACGGCACGUUUUCAUUAUGAAGUUUUAUUUACAUAAAAUAAUAAUUUCCUCCCAAUGAAAAGAAACGCGGUUUCACGUGCUUUUAGUGCAAAAUUCUUUGGUUUUUUCCUCCUUUUUUUUUUUUUUUUUUUUCAAAUUAUUAAAAAAAAAAAAAUGAUGAUCAAGAGUGUGGGUGGUGGGGGCUUGCAAGUUGCAAUAAUUUAACACCCAUCAAUGAUAGUUUGGAUAACCUUCAGACUCCACUUUUAUGAGCACCUUCUCAUUCGUCAAUUAUUCUUCCAAUACUACACAAAUUCAAUGUGAUACCUAAACACACUCAGUCAUUUAAAUACUCAAAUACUCAUUAGCUCAAUUUUAUUCAUUUCCAUCCUAUCAUUAUGUAAAGGGAUAAUUUCACUUACAUCUCUUGAGGUAUUAGCGAAAUAUAAUUAGUCCAAUUAGUUUGAAAAUUUGUUAAAUAUCUCUCUUAUUUUGAAUAAGAGGAGAUGUGAGUGAAAAUAUUAAAUGAGAAGAAUAACGGAUGUAUGUGAUGAAAUUUCAAACAAAUGAAAACUAUACGUAUUUAGUCAAAAUCUCAGAGAAGGUUAAUAAAAUUAACCCUUAUGUAACUAGAGGGAUUGACAAUGCCACGUUGAAAUAUGAAUGAGAGAAUGAGAAAAUAUGAAUUAAAAUAUUCUAUAAAAGGCAAAAAUCAAAGCAUGUAUGAUAAUAUUUUCAAAAAUAAGUUUGAUUUUUUUUUAUAAUACUUCUUAAUCGUUUUUUAGAAAAAAAAAAAAUUCUCUUUAGGAAUUGAAUAUGAAAAAUAAUUCUCACAAUUUUUUUGACAAUAAUAUUUUCAAAAAUAAUCUUGAAUAGAUAUCCUUGAGGUGAUUUUCUUUUUUUUUUUUGAACAAAUGCAAGGUUUUAGCUUCAAACAUUAAGGAAAUAACUAGUUAGUCAUUUUUAUACACAUUUGAAAAACCCUUGUGAAAAUGUUUUUAACCACCAAAGUUGGGUUUCUCCUUACAAUAGAUUUCAUCUAAUUUACAAACGAUUUAUCUCAAUUUUUAAAACAUUUUGGAUGAAUAAUAAGUAUAUCAAUGUGUGAAACCAAGGUUUGGUUAAUCUUGAUUUUGAUGAUAACAAAAUAAGGUUUAGAACUAAUGAUCAUAUUUCAAGUGUGAUUAGGCAAGACGAUUUCCAAAGUGGCAAUCACAAAGACAAAUCAUGCCAAGGAGAAAUCAUGAAGAAGAAGACCACCUCAAAGAGAAAAGUUUUUCAAGACCAAAGCUUCUUAAGAUCUCUUUGUAAGGUUGUUGGUGCACUAGGACUUUCAUGCAUUUCAUUCUUUAUUUAUGCACAAAAAUCAUCAAAGAGUAAUAUUGUUUUAAAUAUCUUAAGAAUUGGAUGAUUUCAUGUUUUCAACUAAAACCUUGUGUUAAAUGAUUUUCAAACUUGUGUUAAAAGGUUUUAAGUUGAAAAAGGUUGAGUGUUGAGCCAAAAAAAUGGCUCAACUGGUUUAACCGGUCGACCGGUUGUGCUCGUCCGGUCGAGGACCGGUUGAUGGAGGCCAAAAAGUUUCUCUCUCUCCCAAUGGCCUUCUCUUCCCGGUCAAGGUUGAACCUCAACCGGUUGAGGUCUGGUUGAGGCCCAACGGUCACUUUUCCUAACGGCUAGUCAACCGGUCGACCCCUUGCUUGACCGGUUGAACCCCCAACGACUAGUUUGACUUUUUUCUUCUAUAAAAAGGCUCCAAUUUUCAUUGUUUCAUAAGCUUAACCUUCCCAAAUCAUUCUUGAUUAUAUUUGAGUAUUGGAAGAGUGUUUUUUAGUGCACCAUUGUUUCAUAACUUGCAUAUCUUUAGUACACCAUUCAGUCCUAGUUUUUCUUGUAUCUUUGAGCCUAAAGUUCUAUUACUAGGAUUUUUGUGAGAUCAUUAUUUGUAUAUCUUUCUGAGGAAUUUUCUCAAGUGAGGGGUAUCACUUGAGAGGUUAUUCAAGAGAGGGAUAUCUCUUGAAGAAGUGUAAAGGGUGCUUGGAGCCAAAAGUCCAAGAGGGUGAAUUGAAACCAUAAUCCAAUUGUAAAGAGAUUGGAAGCUUGGUUGAAGCUUCAAGAUAAUGGAACCCUCACUCGGUUAGGAGGUUGAGGAAAGUGGACGUAGGCAAGGAAGUGCCGAACCAUUAUAAACUCUCGUGUUUGCACUCUCUCUUCCUUAACUCUUUUAAAUUAUAUGCAACUGUGUUUAUUUUGUUUAUUAUAUAUUUGCAUAUAAUUGUCUCUUAUUUUCACUUGUUUAAAUUUGCAAAAAGAGACCAUCACCUUAUUUACCCCCCCCCCCCCCCCCCCCCCAGGGGGAUACCCAAAUUUGGGUUUACCCCUAAUUUUCCAAAACAAAAAAAAAAAAAAAAAAAACUUUUGGGAACAAUUUUAAACUUACAUGAGGGUCCCAAAGGAACCUNNNNNNNNNNNNNNNNNNNNNNNNNNNNNNNNNNNNNNNNNNNNNNNNNNNNNNNNNNNNNNNNNNNNNNNNNNNNNNNNNNNNNNNNNNNNNNNNNNNNGGUUGAAAAAAACAGAGACUUUCUCUCUUUAAGCAGGUGAAAAAAAGUUUCUUUUCAAAGGGAGGAACCUACUAUUUUAAAUUUUUGGGUUUUCAUAUUUUUUUCCUUCAGUUUUUAUAAUAUUUCUCAAAGCAGUUUAAUUUUUUUAAAAUAAAAACAUAAAUUAGUUGUUUCUCUUUCAUACUGUAAUAACAAAAAAAAAAGAUUCAUACUCUUUUUUGCCCCCCCCCCCCCCCCCCCCCCUAGGGUGAUUACCAUAGUUUGGAUUAGCCUCUAAUUUCCUAACACAAUGAAAUGAAAAAUAUAACCUUGUGGCAUCAAUUUCAAUCUUACAUGAGGUUCCUAAGGAACCUUCAAUUGCAUCAAAUUCUUCCUUCAAUGAGUUUCUUGAGAUCAAACAACAUAUUCAUCAUUCUGAAAAUGUCUUUGAUCAUCCGUGCAAAAGCAUGACAAUCUUUGCAUUUAGACUUAGAUUAACAAGUUUGGCUUCUAUUAAUAAUAACAAGAGGAAAUGAUUAUUACCAAAAGUUGAUGUUAUCCUUAAUUUAAAUAUUGGUACUUAUAAUAUUUAUUAUAUGUUAGUUUGAAUUAGAAUAGAAUAUAGAAUUUAAAUUAGAGUAUAAAUUUACUAUUAAUUUGAAUUAGAGUAAGAUAUAGAGUUUGAAUUAUAGUAUAACCCAAAUGUAUUUGUAUAUAAAUAUCCAUUAUCAUCAAUGAGAAUGGUAUGUCAUAUUUUUUCUUUAACUUCUUUCUCUAUAUGUUAUCAGAACCUUUGAAUCCUAAACCUUAGUCUUAACUUGGAGCAAAGAAAAUUUAGGGAGUAGUGCUUAGGCCCUACACAUCUCCCCCAUACCCUUGUCGCAAAUGGUAGUGACCUUGCUAUGCCUAUGUAUUGUCAAGUCUUUAAUGUAAUAUUCUAAUUUCAAUACCUGUUUACAUCUAAGAAUUGCAAAUUUUCCUGGUUCAAACCUACUAGAAUUUUCUUCUCAUUUACUUCCUACAAGUAUCAAUUUCUUUAAUUUAACAUAUACUUCUUUAUUACCUUUAACUCUACCUCUUUUUUUUUUUUUUCUAAAAGCUUCCUCAAAGAUUUGAUUGGUUUUUUACAUGUCUUGGAAAAAUGAACAUGCUCAUGUUCCUCUACCUCUACUACAUUAGCUUUUAAUGCAUUAUAUAGUUUGAUGCCAAAUAAGGCUCCUAAUCCUGUUCUUACUUCAACAAACUUUCUUUCUAUAAGUUCCUUAAAGUUUUUAGAAAUCCGACUUAGGAAGAUCCCACUACUCUUACCUCAUCUUUCAACUAUCAAGUUGAAUCCACUCUUGCUUGGGCCCAAGGAGGCCGCUCUCCAAAGAACCAAGGAGAUUGCCUUCCACAGAACUAAGGAGAUUGCCCUCCACAGAACCAUGGAGAUCGCUCUCCACAUAACUAGAGAGACCGCCCUCCACAAAAAUUGAAUACUUCACCGUCUAUUUUCUUCUCUCAAGACCAAAAUUGGAAUAUUCAAAUGGAGCUCCAUCUUAUUGGGGCCUAUAAGAGAAAGUUAAUGUUAUCCUUAAUUUAAAUAUUGGUAUUGGUACUAUUUAUUAUAUGUUAGUUUGAAUUAGAAUAUAAUAUAAAAUUUGAAUUAAAGUAGAAAUUUAAUACUAGUUUGAAUUAGAGUAGGAGAUAGAGUUUGAAUUAUAGUAUAACCCAAAUGUAUUUGUAUAUAAAUAUCCAUCACCAUCAAUGAGAAUGGUAUGCCAUAUUUUUCUUUAUCUUCUUCUUUCUCUAAUGAUUACAAUGAAGAUAAAAUGCUAUGUUGUAGAUAGGAUGGUUAUCAUAUGGAGAGAAUAUAUAGAAUAAUUAGAGUCCAAUAGGCUAAUUAAUUCAUUAAGACUCAAGUAGGUUGGAUUAAAUGAUGAAAAUCCAAGAUGGGUUUAAGUCACUUAAGCCAACUAAAUGUCUAUAUAAACGUCCUUAGGAUAGGGCUUUAGUCUUGUUAUGUUUUUUAGAAUUUAGAAAGGUUAACCCUUAGCCUCUAUCCCUCUAAGAGGAUUCCAUCAUCCUCAAGUGCAAGAAAGAGAGUCAUCGACUUAAAGAUUGGAAUAGAUCUAAGAAUAUCCAAAUCACAAGUAUGUUUUUUAGAGCACAUAGAUCUAUAGUUUUAUUUGAUUCAAUGUUUUGAAUGCUUUUGUUAUGUAGAUCUAGAGAUCCUUAUGAUAGUUUUAUAUGAAAGUUUCUCAAAUGCAUUAAAACAAUAGCUUGUAGGUGGUAUUCCAUGAUGAACAAUUGUUGACCAAUGGCUUGACUAAUUGAGCUUCUGUUCUAAGUAGUGGCCCUGGCAAAGUGCAAACAUGAGGUACAAGGUCUCCUGUACUGGUCGACCUUGGUAGUCUAUCAGGACCCUUAAGGAUUUUUUUUUUAAUUAUAUAAAAAAAAAGAAUUUUGAACAAAAUCAAUUCUAAGCUUCAAAACUUAGGGAGUUGAAAAACAUUGUGAAAAUGUUUUAGGCCACCUAAGCUUGGGUUUUUUCCUUAAAAUAAAUUUAAUCAAAUUUACAAUGGCUCAUCUUAAAUUUUAAAUUAUUUUGGCUUAAUAAUAUGUGAAUAAGUGUAUGAAAUAAAAAUUAUAAUCCUAGUGCACUAAUUUCAAUCUUACGUAAGGUUCUUAAUUGUAGUCUUCAGUUGCAUCAAAGUAUUUAUUAAUUUGAAAUUAUCCAUACUUUGACUUGAAUGAAUUAUUUAGAAAUUAAAUUUUAAAUUCCAAUGAAUUCAUUAAUACUUUAAUCUCAUUUUGUUAUUAUCAAAACAUGAUUAGAAAAACCUUGAUUUCACAAAAGCAACCGCAUCUCCAUCUUACAACCAAAAGAAGCGAAAAAAACAAACUUACGAUUUUGUCAUAUUAAAAAACAAAUACUUACAAUUUUGUCAUAUUAAAAACAAAAUUCGAAUUACCAAUUCCUUUUCAUUUCAUCAUCAUCAUAAUAUCUCUCUUUCUUCUUCUUCUUCUUCUUAUUAUUAUUUUUGGGUCUUUCAUCCUUUCUCUUGAAGGACUAGUUAUGGAAUCCAGAGGCAUUGAUAGAUCAUUUUCUUAUCAAGGUACAAAAAAAUUAAUAAACCAUAAAAACAAACCCAUAGCUUAGCAAUUGUAACAUCACUAGUAUAUUUAUUGGCUUAUUAUUUUUUGCUACAUUACUUUUUAAAAUAGUAAGUUUAAAACAUCAUUAUUUAAUAUUAUAAAGAUUUUAUUUAAAAGUAAUAUAAAUAUUAAAAAAAUUUACUAACAUGAAAUCAAACAAGUUAAAAAAAGCUGGAAUGAAAAGUCAUAUUAUCUUAUUCAUAUGAAAGUUUGAUUUGGAACGGUGAAAAGAUUUAAAAAAAGAUCUUUCAUAGAAUCUUCAAUGACACUCAAAAAAAUUUUAAAUUAAAGACAUAUGAAUUAAAAAGCUUUUUUAGUAUAAAUUAAAUAUAGUAAUUUUUGCGAAAGAGUUUGAAAGAGUAGUAAUUUUUAAAUUCUUAUCACUAUUUUUAACCUUAUAAAUUUUAUAGAAUAAUUAAAUUAAUUAAUUCAAGUUCUAAAAUAUAGCAAGACAAUCUUAAAUAUCUUAUUGGUAAACUACUUUAUGUAACAUCAUACACAAGGAGACACCAAAAAAAUCACACAAAAAUACCCAAAAGCUCUUAUUGAAACUAGUCUUUUUCUUCUCAAUGUCAAUUCAAAGAAGCACAAUAGCCCUUUUAUAAGCUUUGAGAAGGAAAAAAAUUUCAAAGAAGCACAAUAGCCUUUUUAUAAGCUUUGAAAAAGGAGGGAGGGCGAGAGCAAGCAGGAGAAGAAAAUAACAAAAGAAAAAAAGGAAAAAAGAAAGGACGUCAAAACUUUUCUACUAAAAUUCAUUUGUUGUAUCUUAACUUGCAAAAAUUGUUUAUUUAUUUAUUUAUUUAUUUUUAAAACAAUCUUUAGAUAAACUUGGUGAAUGAUUUUUAAAGGAUUUAAAAGUGUUUUAUCCUACUUGAAAGCAUUUUCUUAUAAAAAUGAAAUAUUUAGCAAAUUUUUGAAAAUUACUUUUAAAAAUUUAGAGAAUUCUAUUCAAUUACUUUGAAAUUUUUUUAUUAUAUAGAGCCCAUUUUAGAUAGUUUCUUGUUUUUGGGCUUUGCGAAUGCUUUUUUAUUUUCAAAUUUUUUUAAAAAUAGUAAUUUUUUUUAGUGCUUCUAAAUUUUUAUAUAAUUUAUUAUUGUAAUUUCUAAAACAAUCAUGUACUUUAUAUAAGAAUAAUUAUAAUUUUCUAUUUAAAAAAAAUAUAAAACAAGAAGUGUACAUGUAAGCCAUACACAAAGACGAACGAUAGGAAAAUCAAAGAAAGAUAAAUAUUAUUAUUGAAUUUAAAAAAAGAAUUUUUGACUUUUCCAAAGUUAAUCCAUACUAUCAAAACAAUUUUUAAAAUUUAUAUUCAAAUAUUAAACAAUUCUCAUUUUUAAUGGAAGCUUUGCAUAUUUGAUGUGAAUCACUUCGAAAUUGCUAUGUUUAAUGUGGUCAUGAAAUUCAGGUAAGAAUAUUUAAAUUUGAAAAUAAAUAUUAUUUUCUUGAAACAUUUUCAGUAAAAAAUUACUAUAUUGUAAGUUUAAUGAAAAAUCAUUUAAAUACCAGCAUAUAAAUAUAAGUAAGUCCUCACAAUUGGCAAGACUUUAAAACACCCAUACCAAUAUUUCUAAUGCUUAAUGAUGCCUUAAAGCAGUGGAUAAUGAAAAGUCAAGUGGCUUUCCACAGCCACAACUCACCUCCAUUUUUGUAUUUUGCAACCUUUUUUUUUUUCAAUAAAAAAAACAAAUUAUGUUAACCCAACCGUGCACACAAGCAAGUAGAAAAUAAAGAAAAAGACAAAUUUUAAUGUGAUUCAACAAUUAAAGUGAUCCCUAUGUUCAUAUAGUGUACCAAUACUCAACAAUUCACUAAUCAAAACAAAUAAGGAAUGUUGGUGCCAUUAAACUAAAUGGAUAUUGUUUAAUGCUUUAAUUAAUCUAGAAUUAAUAAUAAGCUACUUUGAGUUUGCUUGUUUCAUAUAGACACUACAAGGGUUGAAAAUAAUGGGCCAAUUGGCAAAUUUUGAACCCUUAUUGUUUUUAUUUUUUGCACAAAAGGUGAAAUAUUUAAGUAUUUUCUAAAUAAUAUGAAUUGCUUUUUGGCAAAAUCAAUCACUAAUUUCCAAAGUUAUUUGUUUUUGGGUGCAAAAGGCUAAAGAGAAGCUAAUAAUACAAAUGUAAGUUCAAAAUUUUGCCUUCAAUGAAAAUUUUUGGAAAAUGUUACACAAUGGAGCAUUAAACUUUUGCCCAUUUAAAAAAAAAAAAAAAAGAAUUAAAUAGGCCAUGGAAAUGCAUUGGUAAGUGUAUUAUUGACUUUGAAAAUACAAAUUUUAACCAAAAUAUCUGUGGGUAUUUAUGGGUCUAUUGAUGAUAAAAAUAAUUUACUAAAUAUGAAAAAAAAAAUAUGCGCAUAUAAAAAUUACGAGUCUAUUGAUUAUAAUAACAAUUCAUUAAAUAUGAUGGAAGAGUAUAAAUUUAUUGGUGUCGAUGCUAAUCGUCACCUACAAUUUUUCUUCAUGUUUGUAACGUAAAAUACCAUUAUGCUCUUUAAUAGAUCUUCUACUUGAUAGAUUUUCUAAGAUUUCCUUAAAUCUUGUUUUGGAGUUUCAGAACUACAAUAGAGCAACAAUGCAUUUUCUAAUUUUUAUUAGGACUUGUGAAAAUAUGUUUUUUAAUCUCUUUGCAUACAGAAGCCUUAGGUUUUUAGUCAUUUCAAAUUAGCAAAAUGUUAAAAAUUCAUACUUAAAAAGUUUUGCUACAAAAGUUUGAAAGCCUAAGGUGCAUGACACUUGACCACUCCUUGUUUGACAUUUGAGCAUCCUUCACUAUUUUUCUCAUUUUGUGUGCAAACUUUAUUUGAUCAUUCACAUCCUUUACUCACCUUUCCAAUUCAAUUGUGAUCGAAAUGUUCUUUCAAUCAUGUCAUAUUUUAUCUUAAAUUCAAACAUAAAUAUUUACUUUUUAAUAAUAAGUACUAAUUUGAUCAUAUCAAUUUUCCUGUUGUACCUCAAAAUCUACUUACCUAAGUCUUUAAUUAUAGAGCCUUCAAUUUGAACAUGAUACAUAUAAAUCUCAAUGAAUGUGAAGUACUACAAAUAUUUGAUUUUUGAGUAAAAUUGUUAAUCAUCUCUAUAUGUAUGUGGACUUUGUAGUGUUUUUGAGCUUGGGAGGUUUUCAUGCAUCAAAUAGUACUUUCUCUUUUUUACUUAGAGCCUUUCAACUAUGGACUGAUUUGUAUUGUUUAAAGAUUUGUCAAAAAGAGUAGUUUUUAAAAGAAUAAACUAUUAAAUGAUUAUCUAGCAAUCACUUUUAAGUGAUUCUUUAGAAUUUUAGACAUUAUUUUCAAAAAUUCAUUAAACACCUAAUUUCUAUAAGAAAACGCUUUCAAUCAUUAUAAAAUGCUUUUAAUCCUUUCAAAAUCAUUAUCAAAUGAGUUGUUAGUUAAUUUUAAAUUUUGAAAGUAGAAGAUUCUCUUAAACUAUGUUUGGUUUUUGAAAAGUGCUAAAAAAAAGGGAAAAAAUGCUAUGGAAAAUACUUUUUAUUUAUUUAUUUUUUUAUGUUUGGUUUAUUAUGCAAAAUAUAAAUAAAAAUAUAAUAAAAAUUAAUUAGAAAUUUAUAUAUAUAUUUUAAAUUAUUUAAUCUUCCUAUAAUGAAGGAAAAUAAGUGAAAUGAGUUUAAAAAAACAUAUAAAAAUAAUUUAUUAACUUUAAAUCUAUAUUUUUUUACUUUUUUCUUUCUUUCUACAUUUCCUCAUUGUUUUUUUGUUCUUUGCAUUUUCUUUCAAGCUUUCUAACAACCAAACAUAUCUUUAAGAAAAGUAAAAAGAUAUUUUAAAGGUGAUUUGGAUGUUUAUCAAAUGCAAACAAAAAGUAACAUCUAGCUAGUUGUUGUCCAACAAAGAAAGUGGGCACAACAUAGCGACUCAUAUUUGUGGGACUUGCCCAAUUCAUGGUGAGGAAGACAAAAGGGGUAUGAGUCUUCAUUUUCAAGGUUUCAUUUCAUGUCUUCAAUUGUUGACGUUAUUAGUUAAGAAGACAAACAUAAUGACUUAGCGAUAAAUAAAAAGUGACUUUAGCCUGUACAAAAAGCAGUGGUAGCCAAUGCUAGGAGGAAGCUUUGAGAAGGCCUCCUUGCCAACUUCAAUAAUUCAACUCAACUUUCCAUAUAUGUUUAAGAUAGAGCUACUUGUCUACAUCAAGCUAGAACACACCAACCCUCAUAGAUAUUAUCAAUAACUUGGUUUAGAUACACUUCCUAUUUUAUUUUUUAUUUUCAAAUUUUUUUUUAGAGGUUUGUAUAAAAGAUAUAAUGAUUUUUAAAGAUUGAUUAAAAAAAUUGAGAUAUUAAAUUUUUUAAUAUUUCAAAUUUUAAAUUUGUUGUUUUUUUUUAUAUAGAAAAUAAGUUUAUAUUUUUUGUAUGAUAGUUUUAAUUUUUUAUACAGAAAAGCCUAAGGAUUUCUAUUUUUUUUUUGAGAGAAAAGUUAGAAGUUAUUUUUAUAUAAAAUAUAGUAGCUUUUAUAUGAAAUCGAAGACUUUCUUUAUAAUUUUUUUAAAUUCUUUUAUUUUUUUAUUAUUAUUUUUUAAAAUUUAUCCUUUAAUUUAAGGUAAAUUUGUACAAGUUUAGUUUAUACAAGAGUAAUUACUGUUUUAUUUUUAAACAUAUAAAAUAGAAAAUGUAUUCAAACAAUGCACCAAAAGGUUCAAUCGAAAAGUUGUUUCGUUGAAUCAAUUCUUGAGAUCAAAUGAAAGUUGGUAAGGAAUAAAUUCCCAUGCCUUGAGAGUAAGGUGGUGUUCUUUUUGUUUUUUGUUUUUUUGUUUUUUUUGACGUAAUUUGAAAUAGAAUUUAAAACUAAAUAGUGCUUAAUAGUGUUAAAUAUUAAGCUGUUUUAAAAAUAUUUUACUUCUAUUAAGUAUUAAGAAAUAAAGAAAAAUUAAGUUUUUUCUAAAUUUUAGCAUUUAGAAAAAUCUAAAUUUUUUAUUUUUUUCUAUUCAGUAAAAAAAUUUAAGAAAUAAGUAAUAAGUUAAUAAAAAACAAAACAAAAAAAACAUACUAUUCGAGAUUUGAAAGUAAGUUGCUUUCAAUAAGGAAUAAAUUCUUAUGCCUUGAGAGUAAGUAUUAAGUUUGCAAUUUAUUAUUAGUUGAAAAUAUGUAAAGCAAGUCGAGUUAUUUUAGUAAAACGCUUUUUGUGUAUUGUGUUUAAAUAAAUAACACUUCUAUCAUAAACGCUUUUAUGGAGAAUCGAUCAAUACUAUAUAAACUAAAAUGACUUUUUUAAAAAUGUAGUUUACCAAAUACUAUUUCAAGUGAGUCUCUAGAUUUUUUUAUAUCGUAAGAAAAGUGCUUCCAAGUCUUUGAAUAUAUUUUUACCCUUUCAAAUUUACUCUAAAUUUGACCCAUGGAAAACAUUUUAGCCUUAUUAAAAGGAAAUAAAAGAUUUUGGGAUGUGGUUUAAUGUUGGAUCCAAACCCAACCCAACCAAACCCUAGUUGGGCUAAAGAUUUUAUGACCCAAUAUACAACCAUUUGGAUUGUGCAAUAAGAUUCAAUUUUUCCCCCAAUUUAGGGCAAAAGUUUUAGAUAUAAGAUGAAUUAAACUAACUUUUUAGAAGUAGUAAGUUUACUAGAGGGCUUUUUGAAGCAUUGGAAAAAAACAAAACAAAAAUUAACUAAUUAAGCAUUUAUUGGAUUGCACUUUUGUUUUUAUAAUUAAAUAUUUAAUUUAUGUUUUUUGAAAAUCAUCUAUCUAUGAAACUUAUUCGGUCAUGAACGUGUAUGUGAAAUAAUUUCUUUAAAAGAUUUGUGGCUUCUUGAAGCUUUAGCAAAAGAAUACCGCAUUGGAGUUUGUAUUGAAAGAACUUCAAGUAGUCUUAAUAUUUUUAACUAAAAAUAGUUCUUACCUAACAACUUGUGGAAGUUGUUUUUUUCUUAAUGUAAAAGAUUUUUCAAGCCUUCCAAAUGAUGGACCAAAUGGAGCCUUAAAUUCACUCCAUUUAUAUAUAUAUAGGAUUUAGUUUUAAAGAGAGUGAAAGGGGAAAAGGAAAAACAAAAUAUUUGAGUUCAAUAAUGAAAGAAAAUUUUAUAGUCUUGAUAUAAUAAAACUACAUAAGAGGAAGGGAAUAGGUGGUUCUUAAAUUAAUCCAAAAUUAAAUUAUUUAUUAUCAACUUUUAGUUUGUCCUUUUAGAUUAAUUCUUUGAUAAGAACAUAAGAAUCCCAUGUAAAAAAUAAAUAAUCAAAUCGCAUAGAUUGACGAAUGAUAUGGAAAAACCACCUAGUAGCCUUAUCGAUAAAAAAAACUAUAGAUAGUCUUUCGACUAAUAAAUAAUCCACUAAUUAUAAGAAAAAAUGUAUAUAGUUUUACUUGAUAGGAUAUAUGUACUUCUUAAGGUCUUAUAUCAUUAGUACAUAUGCCUUUGACACAACAUUCCCCAAUGCUCUUUAUUAGAUCCUUUGAAACCCUUAUCAAAGUUUUAUUAUAAGAAUCUGUAUUUUUUGUUUAAAUCGAAAGUUACUAUCAAGAAAGAUUUUGAAAGUUUAGAUGAAGGGCUAAGCUUGGAGAUGACAAUUAUUCUCUUCGGGUUCUCUCAAAUCCUCUUUAAAUCCACAAAUUUUUAAUAAAACAAAUCUUUCUUAUAUUUAAAAACCCUAAAAAAACCAAUAUAAAGAGUUACCUAAUUUUAAAACACUCCAAAAAUCCAGUGGAGAAGAAGAGGGUGAAAGAAGACUUUGAAAGGAAUGUUUUAGUCUCGAACGUUUUGUAAAAGAAUGUUGUGGGUGAGUUAAAAGACUUACAAAAUUUGAAACGUCCUACAAUUUUAAGAUAAUUCAGUUUCUAUAACCUUCCGAUUAACUUAUGAAAUUAUACCAUAUUUUCAAUUCCCAUAAAUUUUCAUUUGUAACCACAAAUUCAAUAACCUAUUAUGUCACUUAAAUCCCGUUACUUGUAACAAUUAAUAGGAAUAUAAAAGAUAUAGAGAAGGUUACACUUGAGUGAUAAAAUAUUAAAAAUAUUAUAACAUUCCCCCACUCAUUUUAAUAUUUUUCUACUGAAGAGGGACUUAUUACCCAGAAGGAAAGCAUUAUGCAUCAAGAAUGUGUAACUUUGCAUUGAACCUUAUUAGUGAGACAACCAUCUAUCUCUACUCCAAAGUUAGUGGUGGUCAUAGACUUAAUAUAAUUGUUUAAGGAAAAUAAAGAGUUACUACUCAUACGUAAUAACUCGAGUGUUUAAAAUAUGAACUUUAUUAGUUAGCAUAUUACGACCUUGUGUUGAUAUCAACAUUCGUGAUUGUAUUUGAGAAUAAACUCAAUUCUCAAAGAAAGCAACCCCAUUUUCACAUUCUUGCGCAUAGGUAAAAUCUGUUAAGGGUGUUCCUAUAAUCAUUACUAAAACCUUCAAUCAUAGUAGAACACUUUUGAUAAAAUAUAUAAGCUAUAAUUUUUUGUUCCAAAUAAUUAUUUCUAUACUUGAUCAAUGACAUGCUAAUAAUUAUCUACUUUGCUUAUUGGUAAAUCUACUGUGUAUCCCUUGUGCAUAUGCAACGUUUCUAAUCUAGUCCAAUUAGUUACCUAAUGUAGGCUUGGAUUGCGGAGCAGGAAAUUUAGAAUUGGUCAGGUUGAGAAAGUAAAAUUAUUAUAUGGCUAGAGAACUUUUAUUAAAUUCACAUGUAGUGAAUGACUAUGAGGCUUGAUGUUAAAUGCUAAUGAACCUUUUGAAUUCCUUACAUGUUAUUCCUUAAAACAUGAAAUUCUUAUAAAUGAUUUCAUGGAGCUUUCUAGAGAAUUAAUAACUCAUGCUCGAAGCCUUCUAUUGUCUCUUAAAGUUUUAGGUUCUUUUUUAUUUGGUGUAACCAAAUAGGAAUGGAGAAAUUAAUGGACAAACUUAAAAGUACUAAAAAGAAAAUUUAGGAAGUACUUAAAACAAUUAAUGAUAGACUAGAUGAUAAAUAUAUAUAUAUUGAGAUAUUGAAUACUUCCUUGAAGAAGAAGAUGAAAAUUGUCUAAUGAAAAUAUUAGACAAUUGUUACUUCACAUUUUGUGAAAUGAGAACUCUCAUUGAUAAGUCUCUUAUAACUAUUUCUACUAAUGAGUUGAAAAUGCAUAACUUAAUACAACACAAAAUUGGUAGGAAAAUUGUUUGCCAGCAAUCCCUUAAAGUCUAGCAAGCAUAUUAGAUUACAAAGGCAUGAGGAUAUUUUAUGAUGUGUUGGAAAAGAACAUGGUAAGAGGUAAAAAAAAUGAAAAAUCAUGAAAUUUUAUUACAUUUGAAACAAGUUAAAAUUGUUAAUUAUGAAUAAUUUUAGUUUUAUUUAUAUAUUAGUAACAUUUUAGUAAGUUUUUAUGCACUUUCCAUGUUUUCACUAAUCCUUGUUCUUGGUUUAUAGGGAACAAAAGAAAUUGAAGGAUUAUUUUUUAGCAUGUUGAGUUUAAAAGAGACACUUUACAACAAAAGCUUUUGUGAGAAUAAAUAAACUUAGAUUGCUCAUGUCUAUGAUGACGAUCCUUAGAGAGACUUUUGUAUAGUUCAUUUUUCUUCUAACUUUUAAUUUCAUUAUGAUAAAUUGAGAUAUCCAUAUUUGCAUAGAUACUCUUUAAGAUCACUACCUAAUGAUUUUAAUCCAAAGAAUCUUGUUGACCUUCUCAUGUCUUAUAGUCACAUUAAACAACUUUGGAACGAAAUAAAGCUCGAGAAGACGUUGGGUUUCAACUAGAAGGGCGGUUUGUAUCAAGAAUUUUAUUUUAUUUUAAAUAUUAUAAAAAAUAGUUGUUUAAAAAAUAAAUACAAAAAUAAUGAGACUUUUAAUCACUGAAUUUAUCUUUUCAAAGGAUAAAUCUAGUCUUCUAGAACGAUUAAACAUGAAAUUGAACUUCUUCAACUGCAUUUCAAUUGAAGAAAAGAAACACUUACCAGAAAUGAUCAAGCAGUUCUGUGGCCGAAAUCUCCAAUUCAGAGUGAUCCCCUCAAGAUGAAAAGGGUUUUCUAUUUUUUAUUUUUCACGUCUCCUACGUUUCCCUUUUGGUUACGAAGGCUAUUCCCAUAACCACUCCCACAAAGAAAAGCAAUCCAAAAGUAAAAGUGGGAUUCAGAGGAAGAUUCCGUAUCUUAAGGUGGGUUUCCUCUGAUCCUGACAUUCAAUGGUCAUAUCCUCACAUUCAAUGGGUUCCCCCGCAGAGAUUUCUUUAAGGACAAGAGUUGACUCAUUAGGGGGAGGCACAUUGUUGCAAUUCACCUCUUCAUUAACAUACACUAAACCUAACCCACAUCUCUUAAUUUCAUAACCGGUCUCGGAGGUUAUUGCAAAUGUAGCCUUGAUGUGAAUGACUUGAUGCGGACUGAGUGAGGGUUGAACUGGUACAUAAUUCAGAAGCACAUGAUCCACUUCAUGAGCCAAAACACAAUUAUCCCCUUCAAGAUGGAAAAAACAUUGAGUUUCGAUAGAACAGCAACAUGUGCCAAAGUCCAAGAAAACUUCUGCCCAUAACCAAUGAGAGACAGGUGGCUGGCUACUGAAGACAAGAGCCAAUGCAAAACCCAGGCAGUUGGUAGACCAAUUUAGAGGUAGGUCUGCUUCAAUUACAUUCUCCGAGCUCUGAUACCUGAUCCAAUCUGGUAUUCUACUCCCGGGAAUCACAAAAGCGACGUCAGAAUCCUGCAGAAAGAAAAUAAAUAAUGUCCAUGUUGAGAGAGCGAGAAAUUGCUACUUUCCCAUCUUGAUUCAUUCAACAUUUAUUUUACACUUAGUAAAACAGAACAAAGACUAAAAUAUGAGUUGUCUCCUCAUAUUUCAUACAGGAAUUAUAAAAAUAAAAAAUAAAAUUUCUGGCAAAAGCUUUUUAUUUUUUAUUUUUUAUAACGAAAAUUGGAUAUAAAGAGAACUCACUAGGGAUUCGAGUUCCCACGGCCUCAGCAGCUUGAGUGAUUCAGUUGUUCCCAAUGAUGUGCAAUCUGUUGCAUUUAAAGAACGUAUGCUUGAUGGAAGCUGUGGAAGUGCCUCUAGUCUUUUACAAUUUCCCAACACAAGCGUUUUCAGGUGAGAAAGUCCACUCAUGUUAGGCAAAGUGACAAAGUUGUUUCCCCUUAAAAUUAAAUCUUCAAGUGAAGAUGGAAACUGUGGAAGUGCCUGCAGUCUUUUACAAUUUUCCAACCCAAGAAAUACCAGGUGAGAAAGUCCACUCAUGUUAGGCAAAGUGACAAAGUUGUUUCCACUUAAAUUUAAGUCUUCAAGUGAAGAUAAGAAGCCAAGGCUACCAAGAUUUGCUCCAUCUGAUAUAUUGCAGUCACUUAAAUCUAGCUUCUUUAAAUAGCACAAGUUUGAGGAAGAAGGUACCGUGAAACAAAUAGAAUUUGAACUUCUUUUUGACCACAACCAUGAGGCAGAUGCUGGUCCACAUCCACGGAAAGACAACUUUUUAAGGUUUCUCAUAGAAAAAUUGGAAGGGGGUAGUGCUCUUACCACAGUUCCAUCUUCGUGAAGCUCCUUCAACAUUUCUAAGUUCCCAAAAUUCUCUGGAAAUUCUUCAAAUUUGGAGCAACCAGAAAGAAUUAAUGUUCGAAGAGAUUUGAAAUUCCAAAUCCUGCUUGGAAGCCUUCUAAGCAUUUUGCAAUCUUUUAAACUCAAGAAAUUUAGCUUCUUCAAAUCUCCAAGAGAUGGGUGAACCUCAGGCAAAUUUAUACAACCUUCUAAAACUAGACGUUCAAGGUUGGUGAUACCUGAGAAAUCUGGAGUUUCUAUCAAGCACUUAGAGUGGCUGAGAUCCAUGGAUUUUAAGCUUUUAAGAACCUGUCAUAAAAGAAAGUUAACUUAAAAAUUAGCUUCCCUAUAUAUUACAUACUUCCUAAAGAAAAUAACAUGAGUUGUAGAUCAUAAUAAUACCUUGAUUCCUUUCCAAAGUUUUUUAAUGUGACUAUAAGGCAUACUGAGAUCAACAAGAUGCUUUGGGCUGAAAUCCUUUGGUAAUGAUUUCAAAGAGUAUCCAUGCCAAUAUAAGUACCUCAAAUCAUCGGAACAAAAUUUAAAUUCAUGGGCAAACCGCACUCUACAAUUCACUUUGUUGUUAAAGGUAAAGGUAUCUCCGAAGUCUCCUAAAAUACUCUUAGAAUUAUAGACUUUGAGCAAUCUAAGUUUUUUCAUCCCAGCAAAGGCUUCAGUGGUGAAGUCUAGUAUAUCUUCUAAAUGAGACAAGUCGAGGAAAAUGCCUUCAAUUUUUUCACUUCCCUACAAACCAAGAAGCAAAUUAAGUGAAAAGCAUUCAAAAUGCAAAAAAAAAUUACUAUAAUUUCAUCAACAUAUUAGUACUUAAAAUAAAAUAAUUCUUAAUUUGUUCUACACAAAAUAAAUUUCGUGUUUUAUUUUUCUCUUACCAUAUUUCUUUUCAACACAUCAAAGAUAUCUUCUUGUUCCCACAAUCUACUUCGUCUUCCAGGCUCUUUUGGACAUUCUUGGCGAACAAUUUCCCACCCCAUUUGUUGUAACAAAUCAUGCAUGUCUAACUUGUUUCCAGAAAUACUUAUGAGACACUUAUCAUGGAGAACUCCUAUUCCACUUUCUGCAUAGAAAUCCUCAUCUAACAUUCUUGAAACAAAAUCUUUAUCUUUCCCUUUAAAAAAACAUGCAAUAUCUAGGAAUAUUCCCUUUUCCACAUCAUCUAGUCCAUCAUAGCUUAUUUUGAGUACAUUUUGAAUGCCCAUAUGGGGUAUUGUUUUAAGUUUACACAAUGCACUUUCCCAUUCACUUAUUGUCUUUUUAAAGAGAAAAGAACCUAGAACCUCAAGUGCUAGUGGAAGACCUUUAGCAUAAUCUACUACCUGGUAGGAGAGAUUUUUAUAAAUUUCAUUAGGAAGAUUUUGUUUGAAAGCCCACCAACUAAACAGCUCAAUAGCUUCUGCAUCAUGUAGUAUCGGAACUUCAUAUGAUUCUUUGACUCCAUAUUGGGUUAGAAAAUGUUUGUGUCUAGUUGUUAUGAUGAUCCUACUUCUUGGACCAAACCAACUAUGCUCUUCUGCCAAGUUUUCUAUUUGCAUCAAAUCAUCCACGUCAUCAAAAACAACAAGAACCCUUUUAGAGCUGAGACUCCUCUUUAUCAUCUGAAUUCCUUCAUCCAUAUUGCUUACUUUUGGACUUUUUCCCUUUAAGAUACCAUGAAGUAGUUCUUGUUGUAAUUGAAGUGCAUUGUCUUUGGAUCUUUCUCUAACAUUGUUAAGAAAACUACUACCAUCAAAUUGAUAUGAGAUAUCAUUAUAAAUAGCCUUGGCGAUAGUAGUCUUACCAAUCCCACCAAUUCCAUAAAUCCCAACCACACGAACUUCAUUCAACUCAAUAUUCAUCAACGAUUUCAACUUUUCCAAAUGAAAAUCCAUUCCAACUAUAUUCUUGCCCACAUUUAAAGGCUUACGAUUCAAUCUUCUAAUGAUGUCAUCAGUAAUUUCCUUGACAACCAGUGUCUCGUAUCUGCGUUAAUUACAAAGUAAAUGUGAUGAGUUGCAAAAUAUAACAAAGAAGUAAGUUUCAUGAUGUCUCUUGCUGUCUACCAGAACUGAAUUACAGGCAAUGGAAUAUAAAACGAUAAAUGGUCAACCAAUUUAUAAAAUUUACAUGUUUAGGUAGAAUUUAGUAUGUACACAUGGAAAAGAAAAGUGAAAAAAAGACAUAAAUAUGAUUUGUGUUAGCUUUCAUAGCUGGAUUGAUGGGAAGGCUCACAAUGAAAUAAAAAAGUGAAAGAUAUUACUAGCCUUAUAUGAUUAUCAGAGCAUUAGCAGAUAUAACUUUUAAUUUCGUACUUUCAAGCUUUUGGUUUUUUCCCAUCCAAGUUUCCUAAUCUAAUAACACUUUUGUUGAUGGGAGAAUUGUUAAAGGCUCCCCUCUUUGCUCCCAUGGCCUCCUUUCAACCAUUAUAACACAAACAAGUUGCUUAUGGCUCCUUUUCAAUUUUGCCUGUUUCUAAAUUGUAUCAACUUACUAAUGUUUUAAGACUUCCUACUUAAUUCACUUAUUAGUUAUUAAGUUUCACAUGUUCAUAGAAACUGUCAUGCAUUUUUCCAGAAGGGAUGGGGUACAAUGAAGAAUGUUCCAUAGGUUGCUUGAAGAACAUUGAACGAGAUAGAAAAAGAAGGGGAAGAAUCUUUUAGAGAAAAGGGUUAAGUUUUGGUGUUUUUACUUUUGGGGGAACAUAUAUAGAUAGAGAGUUUUUGCUAAUGCUUUCAUUCAUGAUGAGAAAGAUAAAAAUAAAGACUAAUAGCAUACAAAGUCAAGAUUAUAUAAAGCAAACCGAACUCAAGAUUAUAUAAAAUAAUAUUAAUAAAUUCAUCCAUAUUACUCAUGGUAGGAGGGAUAAGAGAUUGAAUUUAAGAAUAAGCAACACAAUGCCAAUACUAAGGUUAAUGGCACAUAUAUGCUACUUCCUACUCAGUAAAUAAAAAAAUGCAUUAAGAAGAUCAUAAAAAUUGAUCAGUAACAAAUUCUUAAGUCAAUGGAAAUUCUGAUAUGGUCAAGCUUGAGACUACUUUUUUGCCUCUGACUAUCUUUGGGAUUAAAGAGGCAGCCUCAUGUAUUAAUUAAAAUAAUAGGUUCAUUUGAGGGCACCAUAAACCUUCAAAUACAAGUCUAAAAUCAAAUAGUGUCUCCCUUCACUUGUUUGUCAGCUUUAAAUAAAAUUAAUAAACUACAAUGUAUUCCUAAAAGGCAAACACAUCCCAACAAAUUAGCCACAAAAUCAAGAAAAUUUAAAGACACAUAUGACAUUCAAAGAACAUGAAGCCCAAACCUAUUUGUGCUUUAUAUAAUCAUUGGUGCACAGGCCUUAUAAAAUCACUGGUGCCUCACAGCAAAAUGAAGUGGCUAAACAUAUGAAUAAUAUAUUUAUAGAUUUUUACAAGCCUAUGUUAAUGUGUUGCAAGUCCACAAAAAAGUUUUGACUUGCGAACAUGCAAAACUUUUGUCAAGGCAUGGCCUAUAAAGGUGAUAUGAAGUGAAUGUAAUAUAGAUGAUAGACUAUAAAGAGAGGUAGAGAUCCUAUAAUGACAACAAAAUCCUUCAUGGUGAGAAAACAAAACAUGAUUCCUAGACUUGUCGCAGCCACUAAAAAUGAUACAAAUUGGGUGGAUUGAGUCGAGUUGAUAGUUAAUUCAACCUUAGCCUUAACAUGAAGCUCAUUUGCCUUAAUUCGAACCUAAACUAAUACUCUGUCUGAGUUGUCUAACCCGAAAUCAACCCAAGCUCAGUUGAAACUAUAUAUACAAGCAAUAUACAUAAAGCAACAAAAACAGAGAGUGCAAGGCCAAUAAAUUUGUUCUCAAAGGAGAUUGAGAGGCCCAAAUGUAUUUUGUUGGGAAGUCUAUUCUAGAUUCAGCAUAGAAAGGACUGCAGAACCAAUUAAUUAUUUUUAUGAUUAAUGGAGCCCAAACCUAUUUGUUUAUUCAAGCAGACAUGUUUCAGCUCAAUUAAUCAUUAAAAUAAACUUGUUCUUAUGUUUUCCAAAGAAUCAGUAUUAACCGGAUAGUAUCCUCAACAAAACCAAUAAAAACUAAUGAAUUCAAAUGAAUUUAGGAAGAAAGGUCAUCCCAGUUGUCCUCCCUGUAUCGGGUAAUUAAACUCAUAGGAGUCUCACCAUCACCAAAGGGUGAAACUAGAGUCUCCACAUAGAAAGGCCACAUCCAACCUAGAGAAAUUACUGCAAAGGAUGAUAUCCUUUAUAUCAUAUUUAGAGCAUUGGAACAGAGAGCCAUAAUGGAGAAUUUAUUCCAUUUCUCUUUCAUUACCAUGAUUGGAUGGCUUAUUAGAAUGUGAAUAGAAACUAAAAAAUUGUUCUCAUGGAGAUGAAAUGCCAUUAAUCAGGAUUUUCAUUCUUCUCUUGCAUUCAUCCCAUUCUCAUUCUGAUUCUUUUAUACCAAAGGACCCCUAAAUGUGUUUUCUUUUGUAAGGCACACAAUACCAAAUCAUAGUCAAAACCACACAAGAAACUGACCAUUCUUCAGGCCACACUGGUUCAUCACUCAACCACCUGCAAAAACUAUGGCAUUCAUCAUGUAGAUAAAAGACAUCCUCCUAGAGCCCUCAGAUGAACAAAACCACAUCCAGCAGGUAGCCAUCAGUUGAGGGGUCAUAACUAAAUCCAUAGAAACACAAACCCCCUUGCUUAUUCGGAAUACCUGUAAGUGGGUAUUAUUUGGUUGAUGGGUUUAACAAGACAAGUUACAAACUAGACAAAUCAAGCCAUAUCACCAAUCCAGGGAAACAAAGUUUCAAAAUUUUAGUAUUACUAAGAAUUUUAUUUAUUAAGGUUUCUUAUAUUAUAUUGAGAAGACAUUUUAACCUCCAAAAUCAGAUGAUAUUUUAAAUUGGGGCCGGGUCAUCACAACUUAAUUGAUAUUGUUUUAAAUAAGAAAAAUUAUCAUAGAAACCAAUGAAAGAAAAGAAACAAAAUUGAUUGUAAAACUAAUGGUAGGUGAGAUAAAAUUUCUUACUGUUCAUCAACGUGCAAUCCGCACAGACUAGCUACUUGGUUCAAGGCAGUCCUCCACUUUUGUAUCACCUCCAUCUUCUUCUCGUCUGCAUCUUUUUCAUGGUCCACAAACGCAUCUCCAUAACUUCCCGACUGUUUUCGUACAUCGGAUGGAUUCACAUGAUAGAAAAUUGGUAGAAUUGUUGAUUGCUUUUGUGUCGUACACUCAAAAAUUUUUACGAGUUCAUUUAAACACCACCUGGAGUUAGCAUAAUUUGUCGAGAAAAUAAUAAUGAAAAUCUUUGAUUCUUCAAUGGCUCUCAAGAGAUCAGAUGCAAUAUCUCCUCCUUUCUCAAGUUCUUCAUCAUCUCUGAAAGUAUGAAUUCCAUAUGCAACCAAAGUGGUAUAGAGGUGAUCGGUGAAAUUUUUGCGAGUGUCUUCACCUCUAAAACUUAUAAACACCUCAUAACUAUGAGGAGAAGAAGGAGAAGAAGAGGCUUUUUGGCCGCUGGUAGAAGCCAUUUUUGGAUUGUUUGUGCUGAACCUGCAAAAGUCUGGAAAAAAAAAGAGGGUCUUUGGAUGGUGAAUGACUACUCCUGGCUUCUUAAGCCAUUUAAAUCUUGAUGGAAAAAGGAAGGAUGUAAUUCCUAUGGAACUUCGGGGAAGAAAGGCAGUACUCUAAAGUCUAAAGUAAACGAAGUUAAUGUUCAUUUUCUUUUGAAUUUGUGGGGCUACCAUUAAUGUCCAUUUUCUCAAUUAUUCCACAGUUGUGUCUUGUGUGGCUAUCAUUUCUUCUUUGCAGUGAUAUCCCAUACAAUUAGAUGCUAGUGGGUUCGGUCUGAAUCAAAGACAGGUCAUCAUUCCUAUACUUUCAGAUAUCAAUGGUUUGAUUUCUUCUUCUUUUUUUUUUUUUUAACAUUUUACUUUUGUUUUGCUUUUCUCCUUUUAUACUUUCGUAAUUGGCGUCGAAUCUUUCCUCCAAAAUUUUUCCCUUUUCUCUCUAAUGUCUUGAAAUUAGUUGGAAUUUACUUUUCCUUCCUCUUUUUGUAAGGGAGUCAUCCAACUCCUAAAUGAGUUAAAUCUUUCUUUUCACCCAUAUGCUUACAGGAUAUGAACGGAGAAGGUGGAGAGUGGCCCACACGAUUUGUGGGACAAGUUAAAUGACUUUUUUAGUCCUCAUUCUCAUCCGUAGAGUGCAUACCGUAGUUGGACUUGGAGGAUCCAUGGGAGAGUCAGGGUGUAUUUUGCAGGGAUUUCAAUAACAAUUUAAAAUUAAAUAAAUUUUGAUAACAGUUGUUUAGGAAUCAAAUGAUAGUAUUUCCAAAAAUAAUUCUUGAAGGAUGAUUUUAAUAAAAAAAAUUUAAAACAUGAAAUAGAAAUCACCAAACAUACAGUAAAAAUCAAUUUCCAAAUAUCCUUUUUGUUUCAAAAUCAUAUAUAUAUAUAUAUAUUUUCUAUUAAUGGAAUAUAUAUACACAUAUAUAAAAUCUUUAAUUCCCAAAAAUGAUCUUCAAAUUCUUAAAACAUGGAAAAUGUUUUUUUUUCAAUAGAAAUACCAUCUAUCAAACCUUUUUUUAUUUAUUUUUAUUUAUAUAUAUAUAUGUAUAUAUAUAUAUAUAUAUAUCUCAUAUAAAAAUAUUUUUUGUUAAAAAAAAUACAAGAGAUGAUUUUGUGGAGAUGACAAAGAAUACAUAAUAGAAAUACUCAAAGCCUUUGGGUCCUUCCCCAAUCUUGGAAUAUCAGUCCUCAUUGAAAAGUCUCUUAUAUCUAUUUCUAACAAAUAAGCUAAUGAUGCCUGAUUUGUUGGAUGAAAUUGGUUGUGAGAUUGUUCCUCAAGCAUCUCCUAAGAGAACUCGAAAAACGUAACUUACGACAUGACACAAUAGGAUGUCACUUGUGGCAUGACAAUCACAACACCUUGACUCUAAGUGUAUAGUACCAAGGCCUCAAGGGAUGACACCAUGGUUCCUUGAGUGGCCUAUGAUUAAGGCAAGGUGAGAUAGAGACUAUUUUUUCUUGUAAGAGGAACCUUCAAAAGGGAGAAUCCAAGUGGAAGUGGAAUUUUCUAGAAUUUCUUGAAUUAACUAAAAUUCAUGAUGCCUUCUUAAGUAUAGGCAAUGUCUCCUUUAGAAACUUCAAAAUGGUUUUAAAUGCUCUUUAUAUGGUAGAAAGAGGGGGGAGGGGGUAGUGACUUAAGGGAAGAUGAGGUGGCAUGGAUAUGGCUACACCUAAUAAGGCUUUCAGUGCAAGACCCUAGACAUAAUCAAGACACAUAAACAAGCCUUGGUAGCAUCCAUAAAUGGGUUCCACGACAUGUGAUGGUGUGCAACUUAUGACUAUAAUGGCAUGAGGCGUCAAGCAGUCUCCCUUCCUGUCGAUGGCACAAGGGCGCAAUGCCUUGUGCAAUGAGAUGGCUUGAUGAGCCAUCGGUGCAACAUCAUGGCCUGCCACAAGACUAAGAUGAACUUGGAUGAGGCAUGAGGAGAUGUAACAACAAUGAAGCUAACUUGAAUGUGAUGUCUAAUGCUUAGAGAAAGGGUGCAAUGCGUUGUGCAUGAAGAUGAGAAAGUCAUGGGUGCAAUGCCAUGACUUAUUGUUGCACUAAGAGAGGGCUUGGACAUGACAUGGUUUCAUAGUAGCAAUAAGAUAGAGCACAUAUGAGCAUGGUUAACGUGCUCCAAGAGCAACAAGUGCCUACAGUUGCAUGUAGCAAGCUGAUGGGGGCAUGUUGUGAGGCAUGCAAGCCUAGAGAGGACUUGGCAUGCACACAGACUGCAUAGAGAGCAUGUAGAAGGUAACUUAGAGAUGCUACAACGGGGAAGGAGUGUAGACAAAGAAAAGGCAUAAGAUGCACAUAAACCACAUAAAGAUGCAUGUGACGGGUUGCCUAGAGAUGCAACAUCAAGUUAAUAAAAUGCAUGGUUAAUUCAAGCACAUGAGUGGACUAAUGCAAGUGACAACACUAAGAGAACAUUCAAAUAGAGGAGGAAUGGACCAAAGACAUUUGAAAUCUCAAAGUUGGAAUCAAAUUGGGAUUGCAAUUUGAGUUUAAGUAGGAGUUCAUAUUCUUAUUGUAAUUGUAGUCUUACUAAGACUAAGACUGCUUGUCCCUAAUCCAAAUAAGAGUGGUUGGUACCACAACCUAUAAAUAAGAGUUUGGGUAGGACUAGGAUUGUUAAUUCCUAGUCAAAAUAAAAGUAGGUCGUGCCACACCUAUAAAAAAGAGGAUAGAAGUGCGAUCUAAAGGCAUCUUGUAGGCAUGAGAUGAGGGAGAGCCUUCUUUAAACAUGGCAUAAGAGUAAGCAUGAACUUACCAAAGAGAAUGUGGGAGCCUUGUUAGCUAUGUCUUGCAUUGUUAUAUAAAGAAGAAAUAAAAUACAAGUUGGGGAUUGAGCCCCAUAAACCUCAUGUUUCUUUGUGGGUUCUCUUUAUUGCCAACUCAUGUGAGAGUUAAGUAGGUUGGCUUAGAGGGCUUCUAAGCACUGCAUUGAUAAGAAAAACUAGUGAGAAAGUUUGUGCGUGUCAAAGCAAGGAGUUACCAUGGCUUAAGAAUGCUAAUGUAUUGGAGGCAACGCAUGAACAAAUUGCAUGCUUGAAGGUGUAUUUUCGGAGAAACUCUUGAUGUAUGCAUGACUUUAUUUAUAAGAGUGACUGAAGGUUGCAAAUAACUUGGUGUUUAAUAGGUUAUGCUUGAGAGCUGAAAUAAGUUGUCGGAGGAUCGAGUUGCUUCUUUCACAACUAUCAUAGAGGAGUUUAGUGGCAAGAUCGAGUCCUUUAAGGGGUAGAUCACAAUAUUGAGAAAGGUUGUUAUUUGGGGAACUUCAACCAUUUCAAAACCAACCCCAACAAAGGUACGAGUGCCUAAGCCAAAGCCCUUUAUCAGAGUGUGAAACGCAAAGGAUUUAGAGAAUUUUAUGAGACAUGCAUGAAGCAAUAUUUUAGUGUUGUAUUCCUCUAGAUGAGCAAGUAACCCUAUCCACCAUGUAUUUUUCAAGAGAUGCAAAACAAUGGUAGCACAAGAGAACCAACAAUGAUGUUGAGUCAUGGAGACCAAGAAUUAAUAUGUGGAAGACCCUAAAAAAGGAGUUGAAAGAUCAUUUCCUCAUUUUUAAUAUUGUGUGGGUGGCAUGGGAGUCUUUAAAAGGUUAAAAUAGACUGGAUCUAUUAGAAAUUAUGUCAAGGAGUUCAGUUUAUCGAUAUUUGACAUCAAAGACAUGUCAAAAGUUGACAAGUUGUUCAGCUACAUGUUCGAGUUGCAAGGUUAAGCCUAAACUGAGUUAAGGUUGUCUAAGGGGUGUAGGAUCUACUUGUAACCAUGAAAACAAUGGUUACAAGUAUGAAAGAAGAGCUAAAAGGAAGAUAAGCAAUUAACCCGAGAAAAGUUGAAAAACCUUAUUAUGGUUGUUUUAGUAUUAUUGAUAAGUUCUCAAUUACACCUCUGAACUUAAAUUUAAUUAAGUUUUAUUUAUUAUCUUGUUUUUACAUAUAUAUAUAUAUAUAAUCAGAGCUAAAUUCUAUAAACAAUAAUAUGUAUUUAUAUUUACAUUUUUUAUUAUGGUUUCUUAUAUCCAUAAUCUAGAUAGAUUAUAUAUUUAUAAAAUGAUUUAUAUUUUUAUAUGAAAAUUAUGCUGUAGGAAAGAAAAAGUUGUACAAUUAAUUCAACGAAACAAAAGGAAUUCUGAAACACGGUACGAGGGGGCUUUUUAUCAUCACCAACAAGAAUUGAAUUGAAUAAAAGAGCUAAAUUUGCUUGAUUGGGAAGUAGAAAGGAAAGCAGCGUGAUAUUUGGUAAAGCAGAACGCUGGUGUCGGGCCACAACCACAAGGCAAGCCGCGUGGACGUACUUGGUCAAAAAGGUCAAAAAUAAAGUCUACUUCACAAGACUGCAACCACCGGGCAAGCCGCGUGAACGUACUUGGCACUCACCCACCAUGCUUCUCUCCUUUUGCUUUGCUCCUUCCAGGCACUUGUCUAUAUCUACAAUCCUCAGUUCAUACCCUUUAAAAUUUAAUCCAAUGGCCAGAGCUAAAAGUACUUGAAUCCAAUGGUCAGGAAUAACCCCAUCUUAAUCCCAUGGCAAGAAAAAAUCCUGUUUAAAUUCCAGGGCCAAGUUUCCUCCCUUCUAAUUCAAAGGCUAGAUUUCAUCCCUUUUGAUUAAAAGGUCAUAUUUAAUCCCUUUUUAAUUAGUCCAAGGAAUAUAAAGAAAUAUAAAAUCUCACUUUACUACUGCAAAUUAAGAAAAAACCUCUACACUAUUAGCUAUGAAAAAUAAAGUCAAAAGGGAGGUAAACAAAUAACCCAAAAAAGGUUGAAAAACUUUAUUAUGAUGGUUUUAGUAUUGUUGAUAAGUCUCAAUUACACCUGACCUUAAACAUAAUUAAGUUUUAUUUAUAAAAUUUUUAGUUAAAGUUGAGUUCUCAAUUAGAAUAUUCACAUGGAUUUAAUUAUGUUCAAAUUUCACCAUGAAGAACAAACUUAAUUGAGGUUAAGUUCUCAUGUAAAAUAUUCACUUAAAAUUAACUGUAAUUGAGUUAUAAUUUAUGAAGGACUUAAUGGUGGUUAAGUUCUCAAUCAAAAUAUUAACUUGAAUUUAAACUAUGGUUGGUUAAGUUUCAUUUUAUAAAUAAUAAUUCAACUGCUAUUGAGGGCAUUUUAAAUAUAGAUAAUUGCAAUAAAACCUAUGAAUAAACGUGUUAUAUUUGUCAUUCCAAAUAAUAAGUUCAUCCAAGUAUUUAAUUGUUAGUGAUUCUAUAAGAUUAAGUCUAUCACAUUACUAUAAAUUUAUAUAAUUGUUCAUCCAAUAUAUUCACAAUAAUAAUCCACGUUGGACUUGCAUUGUUGGAUUGAAUUAACCAUGGACCUAAUCCCUAAAGUGUGUAUAUAUUUUAAAAAAAUAAUAAUUUAUAUGUGUAUUAUAAUUUGUUUUAUUAUUUUUUAAUAUUUCAUCCAAAAUUUCUAUAUUUUAAAAAGUUGAUAAGAUGAUUGUCUCAAAAACAUUUUUUGAAAAACUACUUUUACUAAAAGCAUUUUAAAUAAAAACACUUAUCAAAUGCACUUUAAAAAUUUGUUUGACAGUACUUUUAGGAAAUAUUUAUAGUAUAAAAAUGUUUUCAAAAUAAAGAAUAAUGUGUUCAACAAAAUUUAGAAAGUAUUUUUAAAUAAUUGAAAAAUCAUUUACAGUAUUCCUAGAAAAAAAAAACAUUUGACAGGCAAUCAUCAUAAAAAUACUUUCAUUAAAAGUAUUUCAAAUAAAAAUAAUAUCCAAUGCAUCCCAGAUAAAUUUUUGACUCUUCGAAAAAAUAUAUCCAUAUAUAUUAGAACAAACAUACAAUUAUGUUGCAUAUCAGCACAUGAUGUAUCUUAGAAAAAAUGGUAUUUUUACGCAAUGAUGGGGAAUAAAGGAAUAAGAAGUUUGUAUUUUCCUAAAAGAUGCAUGUGGGAUUAGUUAAAAGAUGCCUUUGUGAAGUUUGCCUUACUUUUGACGCCCGUCUGCUCACCUACCAAGCAACCUCCUCUCUUGUUUAAAAAUUUUCAAGCAUUUGUUAGAAGAUUCUUAAAAUUAUCUUUUUCUUCUUCUUUUUUUUUUUUUUUCUUAUUUAUUUAUUUAUUUAUUUAUUUUUAAUAAUAUCAAAUGAGGCCCAUGAAUGGAACCUACCAAAAGCCUUGUGCAUGGCCGACGUAUUUGAUAUUUUAGGAUUUCUUUUUAAUAGACAAGCAUUUUCUCACACAUCAAGUUUUGAAACUCACUUUUUCCUUUUAUUUGGUUUUGAAAAUGAGAUCAAAUAUACAAAUAUUUAAUUAAGGUUUAUAAAUGAAACAAAACCUUAAUCUCAUUUAAGUUCUUUUUAAAUGAAACUUAAUCAUAUUACAACUCAAGUCAUUAUAAUCAAGCUUUCUACAAAUGAAAAGCAAACUUAACACCGGUUAACUUUUUUCUAAUAAAACUUAAUUAUAGUGUAGUUCAAAAUAUCAUUUGAUUGAAAGCUUAACUGUAUUUAGGUUUUUUUUUCUUUUAUAAAUUGAACUUAACUCCCAUGCAAUUAAGUUGAACACCCUUCAUGAGAAAUUAAUAAUAAAAAAGUGAAAUGUAAAGAUAAAUAUAUUAUAAAGAGAUGGUGAAAUGAAUAUAAUGAAAAAAAAAAUGAGAACGUGAUUUUUUUUUUUUAGGCAAUAUAGUUUAGAUGAACAUGAAUAAAUGGUGGAUAGAGCAUUAUGAGAUGAUAACUAACCAAAGUGUCUUGUAAAAACUAAAGUAAAUUAAAAAUAUGAUGGAUGAUCAUGAAAUGAGAAAGAAGGAAAGUUUGAAGUCACGGUACUUAAAAAUUAAGCCAUGUAGUGAGAGAGAUUAUGUUGGAAUCAAUGUUAGAGUGAGAAAGUAAAAAAAAAUUGUUUGAAAGAUAAAUGAGUAGGAAAAAAACUAAAAUGAACAAAAUAAAUGGGAACACCAUGCUUUUGGAGGAAAACAAAUUAAAAUGGUAAAAAAAUAAAAAAUAUAUCAUCUUUUAGCAAAAUUAAGGAAGGAUGUCAUUCUUGCCAUUUGAUUAUUAUUUUAGCCUAUCAAACCAGAUAACCUUAAAAUAAAAUUCUAGAAAAACCAAUCAAUCCAUCAAUUUCAUCAACCAUGGUGUCCGGUUGGCGACCCAACCUACCAAUAAAUUCUUAAUGGCUCAACCACCUCACUAUAAAUAAAUUAUACAAAAUAUUAUGAAAUAAAUAAUAAACAUUAAUUUCUACAAAAUGUUAAUGCAAAGUACUCUCAGCUUAUUACAAUUAAUGUUUUAAUAUCCCUCAUUUAAAAAUAAAUUUUUUUUUUAGCAUGUUGAGAUAAAAUAAGUGGGUCAACAAAGACCCUUCUUCUUCGAUGAUCUUACAGACAUUUAAUUUACUUGUUGCAGAUGCCACUUGCUCAUUGGUAUUUCUGCUUUGAUUUUCUUUCUCUGUUGUAGAAUCGUAGUUUUUAAGUAGGUCAUAAGUAAAUUUGAGCCAUUCCUUUGUUUUUUGAGUUGAUUUCUAUGCCUCACCAUGCAACUUGUUUACUCUUAUUUUAUUUCUAUUUCACAUGCUGUUGGUAUGUGAUUCGUCCCUAGCAGUGGCAGUGGCAAUGGCACCAUUUGAUUCGAGGUUCGAUCCCCGGCAACGGCGCCAUUUGAUUCGUGCCCAAUUGGUGUCUCAGCUGAUUUGUGUUCAGCUGGUGCUCCUUGAUUGAGGGAGUGAUCAACAAAAUUUAUAACCUAUAACACUAUAUACUAGGGUAGCAAAGACAAAGCUACUAUAGCAUAGUGGCUCUAGGAUCGUUCACUGGGAUGGGUUUUCACUUCACAAAUGAUGUUAAUUCAAAGUUGAAUUGGUGCCUUUUCAUUUCAAGAUUAGCUUUAAAAGAAAACAUAAAGAUGUUUGAAUGAAAAAGGUUUAGGUUUAAACUAACCACAAAUAGUAACUGAUUUUACUUACAAAGAAAAGUGUUUCUUGGAGUUUCAGAUCACUAGGCUCAGGUUCCUCAUACAAAAAGGGAGUUCCGGUCACUUGUUUCUUUUCCUCGCAUUAGAGAAUUAACAUAUAGUUCCUUCUCCAACCGGUGUUGUACAGAUGCUUCCCAUUAAUGGGUUCAAACACUAAAUCCCUCUCACUGAUGCACCUUGCAAUGGCUCAUACCUCUCACCUAGCACUUGCCAUUCAAGAUGAUCUUUAACCUUGGACUUCCCUUCAAAAGCUCGCAAGAGAUAACUAAUGGAUGCCUCCUUGGAGUCCAAAAGCUUACCAAGUGUUGGCUAUUCUAGAAAAUCCUACCUUCAAGUCACCUCCCAAAGGCUCGCAAGGGGUAAACUAGUGCAUUUCCAUGGUUGGAAAUCACUUGCCUUACCAAGUGUUGGCCCAGGUGACUCUAAGGUGUUUUAAGUUAACUAAAAACAUAGAAAUCACUAACGGGUCACACUUUCUCUUCAUUAAAAACUAAAACAACAAAACUUCCAAAUUAUGUAUGUGGAAACUUACCCAACUUUCCUUACUCCAGGAGACAAAAAGCUUAGCCUCUCAUCCUCUGUGGAAAAACCCUCAGAGUUUGGUUGGCUAGAAAAUGAAAAUGAAAGAGAAGACAAGAAUAUAUAUGAAAAACAGAGCAAGUGCUCUGUUCUUUGAUUCUAUAUAUGAUAUCUCUAUUACAUACUUCUCCGAGCGUCUCCUGAGAGUGUUUACAAGAGAGUUUAUAUAGGAAGGUAAUUUACCCUUCCUUGGAUACUUCCUAGCUAAGGAAUUACAUGAGUGGUUGAAUACAAGGAGAAAAUGGAAAUUUAGACACAAAAAUCUGAAGAAAAAUAUCUAAAAGAGUCGGUGCAAAAAUAUCGGGAAGCUCUAGGAACAUUUCGCAGGUGAAAAAUGGUGUCUGCGAGAUUUCGCAGACACUCAAGAGGGCUGCGAAAUAUUUUCGCAACAACAAGUUAAACUCGCAGGGCUGCGAAAUUGGCUUCCACCUUGAGGUUCUCAGCGUUCCAGCUUGCAGCAUGUAUCGGGUAGCUUCAGGAGGAAUUCCAUAGCACUGUACAAAAAGGCUGCGAAAUUCUCGCAACAAAAGGCUGAUUUCGCAACACUUUGGAGUGAUCUGCUUGCAAUGGCUGUAACUCCUUCGUUUCAACUCCAAAUCGCGCACCGUUUGAAGAAUUGGAUUCUUGACUUCAUGAGCUUUGAAAUGGUAUAUAGAAUGUAGAAAAUGGACUUCGGGAAGUGCUCCAAAAGUGCGAAAGAAGACUGCAGCUAGCUUUCCUCUGUUUUCUUCACUCUGUUUUUCCUCUCUCCUUGCUUCUCUCCUUGCAUACUUUGAACGACUUUGGCAAAGGGCUAUGGAGCUCCAAAGCUUGGUUCUUCAUGAAUUUGAGCUCUUCAUUGCUUUGCCAUGGAUUCCAAAUAACUCUCCUCAUUCUUGACUUGCUUUGGUGAUCAAAAUACUAACAAAAACACCAAAACUUACACAAAGUGAUCAAAAUUGCUUUAAAGGGUCCUUAACAUGCCAAUUGAGUUAAAAGGCCUAAACUACUACUCAAAAGUGUUUAAAAGGAUUAAUUAUAGGCUAUCAAAUAGCACUUUUUGAGUAGUAAUCAGUAUGCUUAAGAAUGAUUGUAAGUGAGAAUUUGGGAUUAAAAGGGAAAAAAAAAAACUACUGGUCAAGAAAUAGAAAAAAUUCGGGGUUGGUUGUGGUGAUGACUUUGACAAAAAGAUAAAAUUGGAAUAUGUUUAUACUUGAAAGGGAAAUUUGUUAUCAUUAUUAGGCAGUGCUUGUAAUAUUAUUUGAUGGUAUCAAUAUUAUUUAUUAGUAAAAUAACUAACAUGGUGUUUUAAUAUAUUUUUUGUUUUUUAUUUUAAAAACAAAAAAUAGUAUAAAAUUUUGAAAGCAAUUUUAAAUUUUUUAUAUUUUAUACUAUAAAUCUUAUAUUUUUAGGAGAGGGAUAUAACAAUUCUUUUUUAAAAUAAAAAAUAAUAAUAAUUUUUAUAUAAAAUAUAGGAACUUUUAAAAAUGAAUUACCUUUAAUAAUAGGGAAGUCUAUUUUUGUAAGAGGUAAGUUACUAAUAUUUUAUUUUUUAACAAAUAGAAAAUAAUUCGAAUCAUACUUAGAAUUUUAAAAUGUACUAACUAACAACAAAAAUAGAAAACAUGCAAUACAAACUUCUUUUAAAUAACUACGAUGGUCAAUUGGUCCUUUCUACGAGUACCCCCAACCCCUCUUCCCUUUGCACAACCAAGCCUUACUUGACUUUGACUAAAUGGGGAAGCACUUUGUCAAGCUUAUUUUUUUAUCUACGGCAUAGAAGGAUCCUUAGUUGUGUGUAGUGGCUCAAUGAGUUUCUUAAUGAGGUUUUUUCAUCAAGUGAUAUGCUUUUGAUAAAUUAUAUCCACCACUUUUGUAAUAUAAUUAAGAAAACAAAGUUUUAAAAAAUAAAAUAAAAUAAACUAUGCAAGAGAAAUGAGAUGGAACAAAUAUGACAAAUUCUCAAAUUUGUCCUAUUUAACUUUUUUUUUUUUUUUUUUUUUUUUUGGAGGGGGAAUGGGAUGAUAAUCUAUUUGAAUAAUAAAACAUGGUAAAGAUAGAGUUGACUCGUCUUAGACCCACCAAACUACAUCUCUAUCAAGGAGUAAGGAUGAAAAUAUCGGUACUUCGAUUUUACGGAUAUAUCGAAGAUAUAUCAGCGGAUAUUUUGGAAAAAAAUAUUGAUAAACCUAAAAUUGAUCAAAAUUUAUAAACAUAUAAGAAAAACUUCAUAAAAAUAUAAUUAGAAAUAUAAUGAUAUUUUAAAGUUGUUUUAUUAAAUAAUUUGAUAUAUUUAUAAAAUGAUUUAGCAUAUUUGAUAAUAAUAUCGUAUGCAUCGAUAAAAAUAUGAAUUUUAUAAGUGUAUAUUUAUUAUUAAAUUAUAUAUAAUAUUAUGAUAUUUGAUUAUAAUAUGUCUAAUUUUAAAAUAUAUAGUAAUGUUCACAUUAUGAUCCAUUUAAUUCAAUUGUAUUAAAUAAUAUAAAAUAAAUUAUGAUAUAUGUAUAAUUUUUUAAUAUUUAAUUAAUUAUUAAUGAUAUUAAAAACACGAAGAAAAUUAUAAAUCCAAGCCAUGCCUCACUUCCACUAAAUGAGAGAUUGGAGUGGACUCGGUGAAGACUUGUACUUCUGCAUAAAGUAAAUAAAGGGGUCCACUUCUUGUGCAAAUUGGUCCUGGAAGCGUGUUAAAGGAUAAAUGAAAGAAAAUGCAACUAUGUGAAUGAUAGAAGACGUAAAGAUAGUCAUGAGAUGUGUGAAAAUGAGAAAACAACAGCGAGAAAAGCCCAUAAGUGGAUUCCAUCCCUUUCCUUGCUCCUUUUUCUUAUGUAUGUCUAGGCUCAUGGAUUUCCAUUCAAAUGGGUUUUGUUAAUUUGUUGUCAUAUUUCCAUAUUUCUAUAUAGUCAACAAACGCGACAUGUUUAAUAAGCAAAUUCUCUUAUAAAUCCUUUAUUUUUAUUUUUUAAGUUUUCAACUUUUCAAAAACCUAUCAUGAAAGAGAAAAUCGCAUUAACAAAUGACAGCUACCAUUCGGUUUCACUGAUGAUGACUGAGGAAUAUACUGAAAAGCUUUGUUGAGUAUUAUGGGGAGAUGGGUGGAAGUUCCUCCACAAAAAUCAUGGGAAAGUUCAUGGAAAUUCAAAAGCUAGCAUCCAAAGACUCAUUCUCUCCAACUUUUUUCCCUCUAUAAUCCACUGAAUGUAAAAAGGGAUGGGAGAGAAGAAUCAUAGCUAUUUCCUAUUUUCUUGACUUGACUUGGAAUGCUGUCAUUUCUAGUCAGAAAUUUCAGGCUUCCUUCCUUACUAUUUGCACGCCUGACAACGUGAUUAAAGUUGUUUAGGAAGAUAGUUGGAAGCCACUUACCUCCCCAAGUUGUAAAGGAAAUCAAUUGAGUACAGUAAUACUACUAUUGCAAAUUUAUAAAGAUUUUGUAUUUUUCUCUACCCAUCAAUAAAUCAAGCUUUCAAUGCCAAAUUUUUUAAUUUUACUUAUUAUGUUAACCUAAUAAAAUUUCAUUUUCUAUUGUUGAAAUUUAUCUUUAUUCUUUUUAUCUAAGAGAAAAAAGAAAUGAUACUUUAGCUAUUAUCAUAUGAAUUCCUAGGAAAUAAAAGAAAAAAACAAGUAAAUUGAAGUGCCAAAAAAAAAAAAAAGGUAAAAUAUAAAGAAAGGAGUCAGAAAAAGCAUGGAGAGUGCAAUUAAUAAUUGAGGUAGGACUUUGACUCUCGUGAACCCCCCACUGUUACUCAAUGCUAAAGGAUUGCAGCCAAUCAAAGAUGAGAGAGAAGAACUAGACAUCCUCAUCACCAUCGUCCCAACAUUCAAAAGACCCCUUUUUUGUCUUCUUCCAAAUUCUGUUCUUGUAAUUUUGUUACAAUCCAACCAUGGCUUCCACUAGCAAUCCCAAGAGACCCUCUUCUUCUUCUUCUUCUAAUUCUAAAUGGAGGUACGAUGUGUUCUUGAGUUUCAGAGGCGAGGAUGCCCGCAACAACUUUACUAGUCAUCUCUAAAGAGAAUAACAUAAGUUGUAGAUCAUAACUAUUACUAUAUUUAUUUUUAUUUUAACCCAAUUUUUGAAUUUUUGAAUUUUUUUCUUUCCUACAGGAUAAUUUACAAGUCAAACUUUUUAAUAAGCAAAUAUAAACUAAUGGGGUUUUAGAUAACUUUUUUUUUUUUAGACAAGAAGUCUAAGGGGUUUGGUUAAUCCAAUGUUUAUAUAUAUAUAUAUAUAUAUAUGCUUUGGAUUUUAUGAAAACAUCAAUGCAAGUCUUAAUAUUGGUAAAAUUUUUAUACCAAUUGAAGAAAAAAAGGGGGAAAUGAUAUAUAAAAAAAAAAAAUCCUUUGAAUAAUUUAUAUGAAACGUUUAUUAAAAAAAAGUCUAUGUAUAGUAAAAUUGUUGGAUUGAUUGACAAUCUAAUGAAUAAAUAAUCUAAUGUGCAAUGUACUAUUAAUGUUCUAUAUAUAUAUAACAUAUAUGGUCAUUAUGCACAAGGGAUGAAAAUCUAGCCGUUGGAUUAAAAAGGGUUGAUUUCAAUGUCACAUGGAAAGUAAAAGCAAGGCAACUGAGUGGAGGCAAUAGUUUUAUUUUGACCUUCAACGUGCUUUCCUCUCUUAACCCCAUGUUGAUGGGAACAUUUUCUUUACUUGUUGCAGAAGCAACUUAUUCCCCUCGUAUGCUGCAAGUUUUGUAGUCAUCUUCACCAAACACUUGUCACCGUUUUUAGUUAUUACUAAUGGUCAUUCUCUUGUGUUCAAAUUCCUCACAGUAGCAUUCUUCAAUUACAGCUCUUUUUCCAUUUCUGCUUCACAAUUAAGAACAUUUAGCUUCAUUAUUCACUUAUUGUUAGCUGUACAAAGCUACAGCUAUCAUUUUGCUUCAGAAUUUCUUUUGAUUUGUUCAUGGAGUUUUUGGAAUUAUAUAAAUCAAUUAUGAGACUACAUAUUAAUAUAAAUUAAUAUUAAAUGGAACGUAUUGCUAUUCUCCUCACAUCCCAUAGUUGAGUGAAAUUUUAGUCCUCUUACAUUUUUUUUGAAUGUAGAAGGCUGAAAACUCCAUUAUUGCACUCCAAUAGAUAUAGGUAUGCUUUCUUAUUAAUUUUCUUAAUGAUUUAGCAUGAGAUUCUUGGACAGUGAAUAAAGGUUUUAUCAUUUAUCAAUUUUCUAAUAAUUAGUGUGCGAUGAAGUUCUUGGGCGUGUCUUCUCUAAAGCUGAGGAAGACAUCAUGCUUGGGCUGAGAAGAAGAAAAAGUUGCAGCAUCCAUUAUGGAGAAGUAGAGACAUGAAGAGAUUUGAGUUACCACUCCAAAUUACCUGUAGAGAAAAGUGCUUCUAUUGAUUAAUAUAAUUCUGAAAAGGAGAAUAAGAAGCAGAAGAUUGAACCUGCGGAUCUAAGAAUUACAGAUGUUGGUGAGAAAUCCAAGCCAUGCCUCACUUCCACUAAAUGAGAGAUUUGAGUGGACUUGCUAAAGACUUGUACUACUGCAUAAAGUAAAUAAAGGGGUCCACUUCUUCUGCAAAUUGGUCCUGGAAGCGUAUUAGAGGAUUAAUGAAAGAAAAUGUGAUAGAAGAAGCAAGACAAGACACUGUAAAGAUAGUCAUGUGAUGUGUGAAAAGGAGAAAAAUAAUGAGAUGCGCAGAGCAUACUGCAACGGGCCGCUCCAAUAAUGAGAUGCGGCCAAAGUAAUGCUCGGAAUGCAGGCAUUAUUAGGACAACCCACUUCCAUCAACUGUCGAACCAAAAUAUACAAUUGAGUCAUUUUCAAGCCCAUUUAUAUUUAUGCAGUCCGAUCAUAACUGAUGCACAUUUGAGUGUUGUUUGGAUUAAGUUUCCUUGUUUUUAAAAAAUGUUUUUUAUUUUUUAAAAAACACAAAGUAGCAGUAACUCAACUCUUAUAGAAAAUGCAUGAAUAAAUAAUCUUCAUAUAUUCUUAAAACCUACCAUGAAACUAAGACAAAAGAUUCUGUUUUUAAAAAUUAGAAAUAAUUAUAGCACUAUUGGACUGUUAGUUCUCUAUAAACUGUUUUAAAAAACAAAGUGAAUAAAGACCAAUUUUUAUUUUUUUUAUUUUUUAUCACUUUUAAAAAUAUAUACACUAUGAGAAAAUGAGGAGAUAGUCACACAACUUUAGUCAGGGUUAGCAAAACUCAUGACCAAAGGGUGUGUACAGUUGUGUUUAGAGGGGUUAGCAAAAAUCAUGACUCAAGGGUUUGUAUAGUUAGUUGUGUUUAAGAGAGGUCCGCCUCUACUAGUCAUGAUCGUACCAAAUUCAAGUGGGUAAAUUUCCUGGAGUACGGGGCUGUAGUACAACCAUAGAAUGGUUGUGGACAUGGUAUUUCAUGGGCAGUGGAAAUAGGCCCAAUAUGCCAACAGUGGGCCAAACGGUAGAGACUGGGUCUGCAUAUAAACCCAAUUCUUUGCGGCCCUAUCUCUUUCAUAUCCUUUUUUUUUUUUUUUUUUUUUUUUGCAAAUAUGCUCUCUGUGAACUAAUUUCAGCAGCCCUAGAUUACAAACUCCACAGAUUUCGUAUCCAAUUUAGGGCAAAACUGCAGUUUGGAGGUUUUGGUUUAGUUUUAAUUUUUUUAGUUCUUUCUGGUUUGUUUAUCAUUUUUAUUGUAUGAUUAAGAAAAUUAAGGCUAAAUUUUUGUAGUUUGUUUGGUGGAGAAAAGGCUCGAUAUAUACUUAAAUAUCAUGAAAGUUAAUUUUCUUUAUUUUCUUGACAACCAAAUAGACAUAAUGCUAGUAGAAUUAGAUAAAUUCUCAAUUUGAAGAAAUUCAUUAGAAAAUUGUUGACAAACUAAAAAAAUAUUUGCACAAAAACAUGUCUUUUUCUUGGUGGAACCAUCACUAAUUUUGUUGUUAUCUUUGCCUUUUUCUUCAUCUUUAAUUGUGAAUAUAUAUAUAUAUAUAUAUAUAUAUAUAUAUAUAUAUAUAUAUAUAUAUAUAUAUAUGCAUGUCUUGAUUAAAUUUUCUUUAUUUUCCCCUAUAACUGUGCAUGUUAGUAGAUCUGUGUAAGAGAAGAUACUGAAAAUCACCACUUCAACACCUACACAUCAACGCCCAAUAACGCAAUAUUUGUGCUAUUGCUAAGCCUAAAUUUCCUUUACUUUUUGUUUCUCAUUUCUCCCAUACAAAACCUUUUGUGGUUGUCGUGGGACUAUAAAUACCAUCAUGUAUUCUCUUGGCCAUAUAAAUGGAAUUUGCUAUGGUUUGCCAUCUCUAUGUUGAGCCAUAUUCAAACCUGAAAUUCUUUUUGUUCUAUUUUUUAUUUUCUGUCUUCCUAUUAGAGCCAUUGGGCAUCAUCAAUAUAAAUUAAAGCUGACUCAGCAUACUUGCCUCCCUUUCCAUCUAUGACAAUAGUAGGCUCAACUCCAUUAGCACUCAAUAUUGAUCUACCUUAAUCCUUCAUUACUAACAACUCUUUGCUUGGCAAUAUCAUGAGCUUUAGAUCUCCAAUAAAACUAGAUUGGAACAAUUUUCUUUUAUGAAAAUCCAUCAUCAUUACGACUAUGAAAGGACAUGACUUAGAUGGUUAUCUAUUUGAGACACAAACCCAUCCCAGAAAAGCUGCUACAACAGGUUGGUGAGGCAUGAUUGAAGGAGUGCAAACAAAGAAAGGGCUUGAGAUGUGCAUGAGCCGCACAAAAGUGCAUGUGACAGGUUACCUAGAGAUGCAAUGUCAAGUUAAUUGAAUGCAUGGCUGAUUCAAACACAUGAGUGGACUAAUGCAAGCGACAAUACUAAGAGGAAUUUCAAAUAGAGGAGGAAUGGACCAAAGACACUUGAAAUCUCAAAGUUGGAAUCAAAUUAGGAUUGCAGUUUGAGUUCAAGUAGGAGUUCAUAUGCUUAUUGUAAUUGCAGUCUUACCAAGACUAUGAUUGCUUGUCCCUAAUCCAAAUAAGAAUUAUUGGUACCACAACCGAUGAAUAAGAGUCUGGGUAGGACUAGGAUUGUUAAUUCCUAGUCAAAAUAAGAAUAGGUGGUGCCACACUUAUAAAAAGAGGAUAGGAGUGCCAUCUAAAGACAUCUUGUAGGCAUGAGAUGAGAGAGAGCCUUCAUGAGACUAAGCAUGAUCUCAUCAAAGAGAAUGUGGGAGUCUUGUUAUCUUGCAUUGUUAUUUAAAGAAGAAAUAAUAUACAAGUUGGGGAUUGAGCCCCAUAAAUCUCAUGUUUCUCUGGGUUGAUCAUCUUCAGUUGACAUGCCAAUGCCUUGAUAUUGUUUUAAAACAAACUUCUUGGGAUUUCCCUUAUGUGGUGUUGCUUUUGCGGUGGGAGCCCUAGAAAUAUGUGUUGUGAAUUGAAGUCAAAUGAGCUCCAUUCCUGUAAUGCAAAUUAAUGAGGGGGAUUAUUCUAGUGGGCUCUAGUGAAGGAGCAGAAAAGCAGAAGCAGAUGAGAGAAAAGCUCUUGUAACAGAACCUAAUCUUCCAGCAUCCAACUGUUUUUUGAUUGUUUUUCUUCAUUCCUAGAAAUGGGAGGACUAGGCAACUAAAGGAUUCACACUUGUCAGAAUAUAUAAUUAUUGUAAAUAAUAUUUUACUCCUGUAUGUAAUUUUUCUUGUAUAGGGUGAUAAUCCCUUUGAUGAUGACACAUGUAUAGGAUUCACACUACUUUUUUUUUUUUUUUAAGUUGAAUAAAAGUUUAUAUGUGUGUUUGACUAAUUUUAUUUAAGGCGUUUAUAUAUAUUAAUAAUAGUUAGAAAAUAUUACUUAUCAUAUAAAUUUUAUUUGAACUUAUUCAAUAAAUUCUUUCAUGUAUUAAUAUUAUUUUUAAAAAAAAAUCAUGAUUUUGGUUUAGUGUUUUUUGAGAAGGUGUUUCAAACUCCUAUUUAGAUUAUAUAUAUUUUUUAAAAGAAAUAUUAUAUAAAAUAUUUCAUAACUUUAUGUGUGAUUAUAAUUAAAUUUAUUAGAAAAUUAAUGAAAAUAUCUCUAUAAAUAUUUUAGGUCAUGGAAAGAAAAAGUUAUGAGAGAGAUAAGAUAGAGAUGUGAGGAAGUGCGAGAGACAUAUGAUGGAAUAAAAUAGUUCAUUAGGGUGGAGAUGUAAGAAAGAGUGAAAAAUAAAACCAAAGUUUAUAUUGACACUUUCACUGGUACAACAAGUGAUAUCAAAGUUUCAUAUUUGAAAGUUUUUAAUUUUAAAAUAAAACCAACUUCUUAGUUACAAGGUAAAACAAAAUGUCCUAGGAGGCUCUACGAGUUUAACAUGAAUAAAAUUAAAAAUAAAAUAAAAAAAUCUCUUCUUUAUGCUUUUUCUUUGCCACUUUACCUUUUUGGGCCCUUUCGGUGUAAGCCCACAACUUGGAAGGUCGCAUCUCCAUAUGUUGUGGGUCAAUAUGUUUGUAAGGAGAAUAAUUUCAAAGUUUAUUUACGGAUAGUAAAAUCAUUUUCUAUAAAAUAAAAUCAUUUUAUUUUAUUUUUUAGAAAACUUAAGUAGAUUUUUUGCGGUUAAAAAAAAUAUUUCUACCCUUCAUAGUUGGAUUGGAUAUUCAGUUGAAAAAUAUAUGAAGUUUUAAAUAAUUUUUAUUGAAUUAUAAUUGGUUUGUCAUUCUUUUUUUAAUUAUUUUUUAGAAAAACAUUCAAACAUGGGCGUUGGAGUACAAAAAUAAAUAAAUAAAUAAAUAAAAGAAAAAAAAAGACAGUGCUGCAAGUUGAAUGUCAUCUAACUUCGGUUGCAUCUGAACACCCUCUCCUAAGUUGAAGAAAAACUGCAAGACAAAGCAUGUCGGUGGUAGUCUUUUAUGGCAUAUGCUUUGUUUGUUCAUACCUGGAUUGGAAAAUAAUUGUGACCAAACGUGUACGGUGCCUCAAAAUAAAAAAUAACAAAAAAGGAAAGAAAAGAAAGGAACAAUUCGAUACCUUUCCUAUGAAGCUGAUAAUGUGAACAAGACUUUCUGCUUUUUUUUUUUGCCUGUUUUGCUUUAUCUUUUCUCUUUUGUCGUUUAACACGCUUUCCUCACCACUUCCUUUAGCAGAGGGAGUAUAUAUUUUCUUGCUUGUGGGGAGACUUGGCCUGAAAUAUUUCAAGUUUUGCGGGGAGACUUGGCUUCAGUUACAUUCACUUGCCACGGCGUUUAGUUAUUAUCAUUGAUCAUUCUCUUUUUCAGAUUUCGCAGGUGUAUUCUUCAAUUAUAGCUAUUUUCAGAUUUGUAGUUCUCUUUGAUAAUACAAAGAGCUAACAUUUUGUCUCUGAAUUUCUUUGGUUUUGUUCAUUAAGUUUUUGAAUUAUAUGAAUCAAUUGUGAAACUUUCCCUUUCCUACAGGAUAAUUCAGACUUGACAACUCAUAUCCCAAGCUUCAUCUCUCUACUGCUCGGUAAUGGCUUCUGCUGCUGCUUCUUCUUCUUCUUCUCAAACGCGCUAUGAUGUGUUCCUCAGCUUCAGAGGAGAAGACACCCGCAAUAACUUCACUGCCCAUCUCUAUCACGCCUUGUGCCAGAAAGGAAUCAACACUUUCAUCGAUGAUGACAAGCUUGAGAGAGGCCAAGUCAUAUCUCCUGCCCUUGUUGCAGCUAUCGAAAACUCCAUGUUUUCAAUAGUUGUUUUGUCGAAAAAUUAUGCAUUCUCUAGAUGGUGUUUACAGGAAUUGGUGAAGAUAGUAGAGUGCAUGAAAAGCAGGAGACAGAGGGUUGUCCCAAUUUUCUACAAUGUCGAUCCCUCGGAUGUGAGAAGACAGAGGGGCAUAUUUGGAGAAGCAUUGGCUAAACAUGAAGAGAACUCGGAGAACAUGGAGAGGGUGCAGAGUUGGAAGGAUGCUCUCACUCAAGUUGCAAAUUUAUCCGGUUGGGAUUCAAGAAAUAAGUAAUUUUCUAAAGCCUUUUUCACUCUUAUUUUUAUUCUUUGAUUUUUAACAUUGUCAAUUUAAAUGCUCUUGCUAAUUCACCUAUUACUUUUUACAACAUAGUGGGUAUAAGAAUAUUGCAUAUAUUAAAUGAUUGAAGGACUAGGUACAUAGAAUUUAGAACUUUUUUAGUACACUUCUUUAAGGGUAGAUUUGAGAUUGACUACGUCUUCACACAUCUCUUAUUUCCUUUAUUUUUAUUAUUUUUUUAUGGAUAACUAGACUCAUUAUAUGUUUAUUCUUCAAAUAUGGCAGGAAUGAGCCUCUACUAAUCAAGGAAAUCGUUACAGAUAUUUUGAAUAAAUUGUUAAGUACAUCUAUUAGUGAUACUGAAAAUCUGGUUGGAAUAGAUGCUCGCAUGCAAGAAAUAGAGAUGCGAUUAUGUUUGGGGUCUGAUGAUUUUCUGAUGGUAGGAAUUUGGGGCAUGGGCGGAAUAGGGAAAACAACCCUUGCUAGAGCUAUUUAUAGAAAAAUCACUUGUCAAUUUGAAGCAUGUUGUUUUUUUGAAAAUGUUGGGGAGGAUUUGGCAAAGGAGGGUUUAAUAGGAUUGCAACAAAAGUUUCUUGCUCAACUAUUGGAGGAACCAAAUCUAAAUAUGAAGGCACUCACAUCUAUAAAGGGAAGGCUCCACUCAAAGAAGGUCCUUAUUGUUCUUGAUAAUGUGAAUGAUCCAAUAAUAUUGAAAUGCUUGGUUGGAAACUAUGAUUGGUUUGGUCGAGGAAGUAGAAUUAUUAUAACCACUAGGGAUAAGCGUUUGUUAAUUUCACAUGGAGUACUCAAUUAUUAUGAGGCUCAGAGAUUUAAUUAUGACGAAGCUUCUGAGUUCCUUACACCCUAUUCAUUAAAACAUAAAAUUCCUUGUGAUGAUUUCAUGGAGGUUUCAAAAGAAGUAAUUGGUUAUGCUCAAGGCCUCCCAUUGGCUCUAGAAGUUUUAGGUUCCUUUUUAUUUAGCAUGACCAAAGAAGAAUGGAGAAAUCAAUUAGACAAACUGAAAAGUACUCCUAAUAUGAAAAUUCAAGAAGUACUUAAAGUAAGUUAUGAUGGGCUAGAUGAUAAGGAGAAGAAUAUACUACUAGACAUUGCAUGUUUCUUUAAAGGAGAGGAUAAAGAUUAUGUAAUGGAAAUACUAGAUGGUUGCGGCUUUUUCUCACUUAGUGGAAUACGAGCUCUCAUUGAUAAGUCACUCGUAACUAUUUCUUGGAGUAAUGAGAUAAUGAUGCAUGACUUAAUACAAGAAAUGGGUAGGGAAAUUGUUCGUCAGCAAUCCCUUGAAGAGCCUGGUAAACGUAGCAGAUUAUGGUUUCAUGAAGAUAUCAAUGGCGUAUUGAAAAAAAAUACGGUAAGAGCAAAAAAAAUAUAUGAAAUUUAUUUUAUGUAGCACAAAUUAAGAUAAGAAAUCAAGAAUUGUUUUACUUUAAAUAUUUAUAUGUUGAUAAACUUUAGUAAGAUUUUAUGCAUUAUGCAUGCUUUUCACUUACUCUAUUUCUUGGCCUGUAGGCAACUGAAAAAAUUGAAGGCAUAUUCCUCAACUUGUCUCAUUUAGAAGAGAUGUUAUACUUUACCACUCAAGCCCUUGCAGGGAUGAAUAGACUUAGAUUGCUCAAAGUCUAUAACUCUAAAAAUAUUUCAAGAAACUUCAAAGAUACCUCCAAUAUGGAGAAUUGCAAAGUGAACUUUUCCAAGGACUUUAAAUUUUGUUACCAUGAUUUGAGGUGCCUAUAUUUUUAUGGAUACUCUUUGAAAUCAUUGCCCAAUGACUUCAAUCCAAAGAAUCUUGUUGAGCUCAGCAUGCCUUAUAGUCGCAUUAAACAACUUUGGAAAGGAAUCAAGGUAAGAUCAUGAUCUAUUCAUGUUAUUUUCUUUAGAGUAUGCAAUGUUUACAAAAGCUAAAUUUAAAGUCAAGUUUCUUUUCAUUGCAGGUUCUUGCAAAUUUGAAAUUCAUGGAUCUCAGUCACUCUAAGUACUUAAUAGAAACUCCAAAUUUUCGGGGAGUCACCAACCUCAAACGGUUAGUUUUGGAAGGAUGUGUGUCUUUACGUAAGGUGCACUCAUCACUUGGAGAUUUGAAGAAUCUCAUUUUCUUGAAUUUGAAAAACUGCCAAAUGCUAAAGAGCCUUCCAAGUAGCACUUGUGAUUUGAAGUCUCUUGAAACGUUUAUUCUUUCUGGUUGCUCCAAAUUUAAAGAAUUUCCUGAGAACUUUGGGAGCUUAGAAAUGUUGAAGGAACUUUAUGCAGAUGAAAUUGCUAUAGGAGUACUUCCCUCCUCUUUUUCUUUCUUAAGAAACCUUCAAAUAUUAUCCUUUAAGGGAUGUAAAGGACCAUCAUCUACGCUAUGGUUGUUGCCAAGAAGAAGUUCAAAUUCCAUUGGUUCCAUAUUGCAACCUUUGUCAGGUUUACGCUCUUUAAUAAGACUAAACCUCAGUAACUGCAAUUUAUCGGAUGAACCAAACCUUAGCAGUCUUGGCUUCUUAUCAUCGUUGGAAGAGUUAUAUUUAGGUGGGAACGACUUUGUUACUUUGCCUUCAACCAUCAGUCAACUUUCUAACCUAACGUUGUUGGGGUUGGAAAAUUGUAAAAGACUACAAGUACUUCCAGAGCUUCCAUCAAGCAUAUAUUAUAUAUGUGCAGAAAAUUGCACAUCAUUAAAAGAUGUCUCAUAUCAAGUACUUAAGUCACUACUUCCAACUGGCCAACACCAAAAGCGCAAGUUCAUGGUGAGUUCUCUCUAUAUCCUAUAUAUCGUUGCUUUAACUAUUAAAAAGAAAAGGCCUUGUAAUAAGUUGUGUGUUUUAUUUUUGUAAUUCCUGAGAUCUUGUUAAAGUAUGCAUGAGAGAUAUGGAGACAGUUUGUUAUGUUUCCUUUUUUUUUUUUUUUCCUUAUAAAAAGAAAUUAAAAUUUAAGUUGAAAAAAGAAAAGUGUAUUCAAAUAAUACAUAAUUUAGUAAUAGAUGUUGCAUGAAGGAAACCAAACCAACAAUUUCUAUCGAUCAACAUCCUAAUCAUUUUCAUUCUACAGGUUCCCGUUGUGAAACCGGAUACAGCCUUAGCGGUUUUGGAAGCAUCUAAUCCUGGGAUUAGAAUACCACAUAGGGCAAGUUAUCAGAGGAUCGAUCCCGUUGUGAAACUGGGUAUAGCCACAGUGGCUUUAAAAGCAUUUAUUCCUGGGAGUAGAAUACCAGAUUGGAUAAGGUAUCAGAGCUCAGGGAGUGAAGUAAAAGCAGAGCUACCUCCAAAUUGGUUUAAUUCCAACUUCCUGGGUUUUGCUUUUAGUUUUGUCACUUGUGGCCAUUUCUCUUGCCUCUUCAUGUUGAAAGCGGAUGUCUUGUUUGAUUGGACAUCCAGGGACGAUUCUUCCUCCGUUGAUAUCAUUAUUGUCGAAAUGAUUUCCUUUAAGAGAAGGUUGGAGACGGAUCACGUGUGCCUGUGUUAUGUACCACUUCCCCAGUUGCGGAAUUGCUCUCAAGUGACUCACAUCAAGGUAUCAUUUAUGGCAGUCUCCAGGGAGGGUGAGAUUGAAAUUAAGAGGUGUGGGGUUGGUGUAGUGUACAGUAAUGAAGAUGGGAAUCACAACAAUCCCCCAAUGAUCCGAUUCAACUCUAUCUCCUCUCCUCCUCCUCCUCCUCGUAGUAAGUCAACCGUUGUCCUUGAAGAAAUCCAUGAGGAGGAACCUAGUGGAAAUGGGUGCUCUAAUGUUGAUGGCUCAGAAGAAGUGAGGAGGAACCUAGAACUGCUACUGUCUGCUCUGAGGAUCGGUCUGAAUCAGAUAUUCGGCCACAGAAAUGCUUGAAAUGCAGGCAUUAAUGAGGACAUCCCGUGAUCAGGAGAAACAGACCAGAUAAAUGCUUAAUAUGCACCCAAACCUUCCCAUAACAUCUCUUGGUGGGUUGUGUGUUUCUUUUCUUUUAUUUUCUUUUCUGCUGUUCUUUCUUAUCUGAUUUUGAGUAGAUGUCUUAAUUAAGACCAGUUAGAACUGUUUAAAGCAAGAAUUAAAAGAUCCGGUCAUACUGUUCGAAAUUAGAUUUGCUUAGAAUUACUCUCCCAUCAAUUCCUGAAACAAUUUGAUGAAUAAGUGAUAUUGUUUCUCACACAUCUUCAAUUUCAUGUGUUAAGACACAAAUGAUUGCAUAUCACUAGAAUCAUUGUGGAGUCCAUUUGUAUUUAUGCAUUCUCCUUCACUAAUCAUGGCGACUAAUCACAGAGUCCCCAGGUCUGUCUCUAGGUUGAUCAUCUUCAGUAGACAUACCAAUGCCUCCAUAUUGCUUUUGCAGUGGGUAAUGCAAUGCAAUUAACUGGGGUGAUGUAUUGACGAGGGGAUUAUUCUAGUGAAGGUGGAGGAGCAGAAGCGGAGGCACGAGGAGAAUAGAGAAAAGGUCUUGUAACAGAACCCAAUCUUCCAGAAUCUAAUUAUUGUUGCAUUGUUUUUCUUCAUUCUACGUAACUAAAGGAUUCACAGUACUCUAAAUUGUUAGAUUCUUCACUAGAUACAUUUGUCACAGGUUUCACUACUAUGUGAAGUAUCAGUUGCCAUGCAGCCAAGUGACUGCAUGCUUCAAAUUAAACCUCAGCAGAACCCUGACCACCCUUACAUUUGAUUGCAUUCCUUUUACUGUCUCUACCUUGCAUCGUACUUCACAAGUCUACAUUUGAUCUCACACUCUCUUGCUUGGCCUCACUUCUAUUUGGUUAUAAUUUAAAUAUGGCAUUUCUUGUCUGACUUCCUUUCUCCAUUGUAGAACUGUUGAUUUUAAGUAGGUCAUAAGUAAAUUUGAGUCAUUGCCUUGUUUUUUGAGUUGAUUUCUAUGCGUCACCAUGCAACUUGUUGCUUUUUUUUUUUUUUAAAAUUUUUUUUUUCACAUGUUGUUAGUAUGCUUAAGAAUGAUUAUAAGUAAGAAUUUAGAAUUAAAAGAAAAAAAAAAGAACUAGUGAGAAAAUAGAAAAAAGUGGGAGUCAGUUGUGGUAGUGAAUUUGACAAAAAGUUAAAAUUGGAGUAUGUUUAUGCUUGAAAGGGAAAUUUGGUAUCAGCAUCCAACAAUGCUUGUAAUAUUAUUUGUUAGUAAAUUAACUAACAUGGUGUUUUAAUAUAUUUUCUGUUUUUUAUUUUAAAAAAGAAAAUAGUAGAAAAUUUUGAAAGCAAUUUUAAAUUUUUUAUAUUUUAUACUAGAAACCUUAUAUUUUUAUAGGAGGGAUAUUCCAAUUUUUUUUUAACUAUAAUAAUAAUAAUUUCAAUAUAAAAUAUAGAAACUUUCAUAUUGAAAGAUAAUAGUUUUCAAAAAUUAUUUAAAAGAAUAUAAAUAUGAAUUACCUCAAAUAAUAGGGAAGUUUAUUUUUAUAAGAGUUUAGUUACUAAUAUUUUAUUUUUUAAAAUAAAAAAUAAGAAAAUAAUUCAAACCAUACUUAAAAUUUCAAAAUAUACUAACCAACAACAUCAAUAGAAACCAUGCAAUAUAGACUUCUUUCAUGUACCUAUGAUGGCUAGUUGGUUCUUUCUCCAACCACCCCCAACCUCUCUUUCCUUUGCACAACCAAGCCUCAUUGAACUUUGACUAAAUUAAUGGGAAGCACUUUGUCAAGCUUAUUUUUUAUACAUGGCAUAGAAAGAUCCAUUGUUGUGUGUAGUGGUUCAAUAAGUUUCUUAAUGAGGCUUUUUAUCAAGCGAUUUGCUUUCUAUAAAUUAUAUCAAUUUUUUUAAUAUAAUUAAGAAAACAAAGUUUGAAAAAAUGUAAUAAAAUAAACUAUGCAAGAUAAAUGAGACAGAAUAAGUAUGACAAAUUCUCAAAUUUGUUCUAUUUAACUUUUUAAAUAAGGUAAAGACAGAGAGCUAACUCACCUUAAAUCCACCCAAUUACAUCUCUACCAAGGAGUAACAUAAUAAUAAUAUUUGAUGAAAUUAAUAAUAAUAAAAAAUACUAUCAGGAUAAUAACAUUAAUACCAAUAUUAAUAUAAAAUUAAUAAUAUUCAUAUUAUAAGCACCAAUGAUAAUAGUAAUAAUUUUGGUAUUUUCUAUAUAUCAAUGAGUCAAAUAUCAUUGACUUUAAUUAUAUAAUAAGUUAAAAGUGGACUUUGACCUAAUUAUAUAGAAAGUUUAGGGCUUAUAAGCAUAAUUGUCUUCUUUUUUAACAAACUUUUUUUUUUAGCGACUUUGGCAUGAAAAAUAAAAUUAUUAAAGGAUUUGGUGUAAGACUGUCAAAUGAAUCCUUUUUUGUGAUAUGUUUCUUUGUCUUUAGCAUCAAUUGAACUAAUGUCUAUUUAAAUUGACAUUUGAGAAGUCAAAAUCUCCCUUUUAAACUUAAUAGAAGUUUAUAUGCUUUUUUGGCAAAUUGGUAGAAUUGUUGAUUGCUUUUGUGUCGUACACUCAAAAUUUUUUACGAGUUCAUUUAAACACCACCUGGAGUUAGCAUAAUUUGUCGAGAAAAUAAUAAUGAAAAUCUUUGAUUCUUCAAUGGCUCUCAAAAGAUCUGAUGCAAUAUCUCCUCCUUUCUCAAGUUCUUCAUCAUCUCUGAAAGAAUGAACUCCAUAUGCAACUAAAGUUGUAUAGAGAUGAUCGGUGAAAUUUUUGCGAGUGUCUUCACCUCUAAAACUUAUAAACACAUCAUAACUAUGAGGAGUAGAAGUAGAAGAAGAGGCUUUCUGGGUGCUGGUAGAGGCCAUUUUGGAUUGUUUGUGCUGCACCUGCAAAAGUCUGGGAAAGAGAGAGAGAGAAGGUCUUUGGCAGUGAUUGAAAUGUCGAUUUUUAUCCUUGAAAUUUCGCCGAUAUUUCAGUCAUCGGUGAAACUCGAUACGACAUUGAGGGCCGAUAACCGGUUGGAAGGAAUUUCGCUCAAGUAUCACGAGUGUUGGAAGUAGUGUUGGUAACAACUUAAAGAGCACUUGAGCAGCCUUACUGCUUGAAGCGACACUGGAUGUAACUUAUAGCACUUAAGUGAUAGGUGCGAAGGAAAGGAGCACUUGAGCGCUGGUGACAACACUCAAGCAUUCAAAGCAGAACAGAAGCAACCAAGUUUAAAUGAGAAACCUUUCAAGGAGCUUAGAAUCCCAAAAACAAAUCAAAAUAGAAUAUAUAUAUAUGUGUGUGUGUGUUUCAAAAUAUCAUAGGGUAUAAUGAUAGUGCAGAAACUUGUAAAAUUAGAUUGAAAAGUAAUAUAUCAAGUAAAAUGGCUAGAUAAUAUAGAUUAAUAAAACAAGAAUGAAGUUUUAGCUCCAAAGAACAAAGUUAAUCCCAAUUUUAGUUUAGAAACUCAAUGUAUAAUUGUCAAUGUAUAAGAUGAUCAACAUAUAAACAUAAGUAUUGACAUUCAAGGGAAUACGACUUAAUGUCUAGUUUUAUAUUUCGAAAUUGAUCUCUUUGAAGAAAUCAAGUCUUGUCUUUAGUCAAAUUAAAAUCAUAUCCAGUCAAUUUGUUCUAAGACCAUUGGACUUCUAUUUAACAUAGUCUUGUUAAUAUAUAAACAACACAACUUAACUUCCCUUUAAUUUGAUAUCAUCUUUUUUUCUUUUGAAAGUGGAUGCAUCAUAUACCAUGAUCACAUUUGGUUUUUCUUUAUUUUAUUCACGGUUGCCUUUAUAUCCACUUUAGGGGUGUUUCCAAAUGUUGUAAGUGAAUAGCAUAAAUUUAAUGAACGAAUCUUAGAAAGUAUAUAAGAGUUGAACUUGGCCAAGGAUUCAAAUUUUGCACUGACUCACUUUGAAAAACAAUAUAAUAAUAUUAGUCAAACAAGGUAUGUGGACAAUAAAAUUUAGGCAUGACAAUUGAUCCUUCCAAAGAAACCAAAGUCUACUUUAUUAGGUAAACUUAAGAAGUCUUCCUCUUAAUCAAUCACAAAGAUUAAUUAUCAAGAAUCAUGGGCCUCAAUAGUGAUGAACAAAUAUCUAAGGAAAAUUAACAUCAUAUCUUGUACAUUUAAUAUAUUUCAUUAGGUCAUAAAUUUGAGAUAUUACAUAUCAUCCUAAUAAGGCAAGUAAGUAAACAAUAAUCAUGUGCUUAAAGAUGAUAUAAAUAAGGCCAAAGGAAACAAAACCAAAAAAUAGACAAUAAGAAACAAACCUUUGAAGCCUAUCAAAAAAGAUCUUAAUCGAUCAAGCACAUGCCUAAAGAUUUCCUAAGAAAUUCAAACCUAAGAGAAUCCAAGGGUUUAGUAAAGAUAUUUGUCAAUUGAUGUUCAGUGGGGACAAACUCCAGAGAAACAACCUUAUUUUCAACUAAAUCCCUAAUAAAGUGAUGACGAAUUUCAAUAUGUUUAGUAUGAGAAUGAAGAAUGAAGAAUAACUUGAAUUUAAACAAUAAACAACCUUAGACGGAAUGUUUAUUUUUUAUAUAUAUCAUGAUGUUUAACUUUCAUAUCUUAUUAUUUUCAUAUACUACAUGCAAUGUUUAUGGAUCUCAAGCCUCUUAUUUGUUUAUACAUAAAAUUAUAUGGGUUUAGCACUAAUGAAUUGAUAAAACCUUACAUGAUUGUGUCAUAAAUUAUGCAAAUUAUGCAACAUUAGCCUGAAACUAAUGUCAAUACAAUGUCAAGGCUCAAAAACUUGAUUAAAAGGUCUCAAAAAGUUACUAUUUUAUUAUUAGAUAGAACAAAAUUCUACAUGAAUAAUGCUUAAGAUGCCUAAAGAAUCAAUAAAGAUAUCAGUUCUAGUGGAUAUCAUAUUAUAAUUAUGAUGAAUUAGAAGUUCCUUGAAAUAAAUUAGUAUAUGUUUUUUAAUGACCAACUUGGUCUCCUAGGAUUGACAAUAGUUGUCCUUGAAAAAUGGGUAUUACUUUAAUACCACUUGAAUAAUAACCAAAAGUCCACUAAAAAAUGCCCAGAGAGGGGUGAAUAGGAGAUUUUAAAAAUUAUAAAUAAAUUAUGUCUAAACUUUAUUUUAAGAGAUAUCAGGGAUGUCUUGGAUAAUCAAAUAUGAGUUCACUAUAAAUAAAUGUAUGAUUUUUAUGGUUAAUUGAUAUCCAAAGAUUAUUCAGGGAUAAAAUAAUAUAAUUAUCAAUAUCGGAGAUAGAUAUUGAGAUAGGUUAGGAAUGAUAAUAACCAACAAAAUAACCAACCUCACAAACUCAAUAACAUUCUCAACAAACCAAACAAAUUAUAUAUUAAAUGAAGUUAGGAAUAACAAUAAUUUGUUAUAGGUAUAGCCACUAUAACCACCAAUAUAACCAACCUAACAACUCAACAGUCAACUAACCAAUCAAUCAUAAGGGUAUCUCAUUAACAACCUAACUAAUCAAUUCAAGAUAAUCAACAUUAUCAACCAGAAUAUAACUAGGAAUAAAUAGAUAUGCACUUUUUAGGAAAACCCUACAAUAUAUUAGGAUUAAUCAAAUUAACAUAUUUUAGGCAAUUCAAACAUAAUGUCAAAUAUAAAGAUAUAGACAAUGGGGUACAAGAUUUUUACGUGGAAAACCCUUACAAACUUGUGAAGAUAAAAAACCACAAGGUCUAAGACCUAUAAAUUAAUCUAAAUCCACUAUUUGAAAUCAAGUUACACAAAUUUACCUAGCCUUUUUACCCUAAAGACUUACUUUUCAAAGCUUACAACUUGAUCCACAUCCACGAUGCAACAACUCCCUGUUGCUCCCUAGUAGAUCCUUUGGCUACUCCUAAGGGAUUAAGGUUUUCAACCAACAAUUCAAAUAUCCAAGUCCUUGAAUGAGAUAUUAGGAAUGAUGUGACAAUUAAGCUUUCUUCACAAGGAGUCCCUCUUUAAAGAAUAAGAGGUUUCCCAAACUCUAAGAUCUCUACGAUCUCAACAAUCUCCAAUCUCUAUGAUCUCCAAUCGCUAACCCUCAAUGGGUUAUAAAGGAGGUAUUUAUAGGCAAAAAUCAUAAGAGUUUCGGUAUCUAAAGUUUCCAAAUUAAAGUUCAAAUAAAAUUCAUCCAAAAUAUGUUUCUAAACUCGAUAGGACUAAUAUAACCAUUUGAGUGGACUUGGACCACUUGAGCGAUCCUUACUACUUGAGUGGGUUGACCACUUGAGCGGUCUCUGCUUCUUAAAAAAUCAUUUAAAAAACAUUUUAAGUCCAAAAAUGACACUGGACCUCCUUAGUGAUUGAAAAAUAGGGAGGAAGUGGUACCUCCUUAGUGACACGGAGUCUGAGUCAUAUAGGAGAAACCACAUGUUUCAAAAAAAAAAAACAAAAGAGUUAGUGAGUAGAGGAAAUAGAAAAAUGCCAAGUUUAAACAAAAAAUGAUGUCUAUAUAUGAUGUAUCAUCAGUAAUACAUCCAAUCCCAUAGUAUAAAACAUCAACACAUGGAAUUAUGUAUAAUAUAUAAAGACAAAAAGUAAAGAGAUGAUCAAGUAAUGGUAGGGUCCUUUGGAGCUGAUGCAUCUGUGGUGGCCUCUUGAGUGGGUUGGAUCAGGACUUUAACCUCUGUUCUGAUAAUCUCCUUAGGUGGCAUAGUCUCCUCAACUGGAGCUAUGGGCUUUGAUGGUUUUAAGGAGGUCUGAAAUGGAGUGAGAGGCUUCGUGUGUGAUCUCAGUGAGAGGGCUCUCCUCUUUAGAUGCAUGGUUGCGUGGUUUGUCUUCAAACGGCCAUAACUUUUUCGUUUCAACUCCAAAUCGUGCACCGUUUAAAGCAUUGGACUCCUGACUUCCCAAGAUUUGAAAUGACAUAUGGUAUGCACAAUUUGAGCUCCAGGAAGUUCUUCAAAAAUGUGUCCAACAGUAGCGAAAUGCAACAUUUCCGUUCUGAUUUUGAUCAUCCAAAAACCUAUAUUACAUCAAAACAAAUUAGAAUUAAAGCAUUGAAAUCAAAAUUAAAACAAGUAAUAAACAAAACAAAAAGAUAUGGAUUAGCUAGUCUUUAAAAAGACUAAGUCCAUUAAAAAAUUUGAUCCUGAUUUAGCUUGCCCGGAUCCCAUAUGAAGUUUGCAUCCCUCACUUGAGACUUGGUUUGUAUGAUUUUUCCAUACAAAGCUUGGGGGAAAGGUGGAGGGAUGUAAUUCUUCAUAAUUUCUUCCUUGAUGACUAUCCUUUGUGGUUUUCCUUGUAUAUUAACAUCAUAGCCAUCUUUCUCUAUCCUUUUCCCCUUUUUCUUUCCUUUGAUUUCCUCCCUCUUUUAUUUCUCUGUUUCACUCUCUACCUCAUGCUCUAGCUUGGAUGUGGGUAGAUCAACCUCUUUACCACUCCUCAAAGUGAUAACCGUUUUAACUUCCUUCACCAUUGAAGAUUCUCCCUUUUGAGUCUCCACUUCAUGGAUACCCUUGGAAUUUUGAUGAGGUUGAGAAGGAAAGUUUCCUUUUUCUUGCACUUUGUUGAGGUUGGCAAACCAUGAGAUUGAAUAUUGGAGGUUAUCUAUCUUUUGAGAUAAAUCAUUUUGCACUCCAUCCAUCUUUUUGUUCAAUGAACUCUCUACACUGUCAAUUCUUUGACUGAGUUGAGAGUUGAUGGAUUUUUGUUCUCCAAUAAAAUCUCCCACAACCUUGCUGAGAUUCAUUAUAGCUUGAUGAAGUUUCGAGGCUUGCUGAGGUGCUUGAGCAGGUUGCUGGUACCGAGGUGGCUGUGGUUUCCAAGAGAAAUUUGGAUGGUCCCUCCAAUUGGAAUUGUAGGUGUUGCAAUCACCAAACAUUUCUCUCACCAUUGGAAUGGUAGGACACUGAUCCACCAAGUGCUCAAAAGAUCGACAAAUGGAACAAGGCAUAGGUUGCAAUGGUGUCUGAGAGAUGGCUUGCACUUCUUGCAUCUUCUUCAUUUCUAGCUCUUCCAAUCUCCUUGCCAUAGCUGCAAUCUUUGCCUUCAUGUCUAUGCCGUCAUUCAAAAUAUACAUCUCAGCCUUAGUAUUAGGUUGAGACAUCGUUCUUCCCAUAUUUCGAGCAUUCGGUUUAUCCCAUCCUCUUGAAACUUCAGCCACAUAUCUCAUGAAGUUCAUGGCUUCCUAUGCUAUCUCGUAUUCAAUAUGGCAUGCACAACUAGCAAUUUAUGAAUUAAAAACAGAGAAAAUAAAAGAAAACAAAAGAAAAACAAUUCUAAGAAAAAAAAUUAAGGUAAACUAAAAACUAAAUAAAAAGUAUACUAAAAUAUGAACAAAGAAAAAGAAACAAAUAAAAAGAGUUAGUAAAAAGAAAAGAAAAGUCACCAAACUUGUGAUGAAGAUCACAAGUACUCUGAAAAGGUCAUAUCACUGUAAAGUGGUACCAUCCCCGGCAGCAGCGCCAUUUGAUUCUUUCCCAAUUGGUGUCUCAGCUGAUUCAUGUCCUCUCAAUGGUCCCUGACAGUGGUGCCAUUUGAUUCAUGUCCAGUUGGUGUCCCUUGAUUGUGGUCCUCAGGGAGUAAUCAACAAAAUUUAUAACCUAUUACACCAUGUACUAGGAUAGCCUUAGCUAGCAUAGCAUAGUGGCUCUAGGGUCGUUCACUGGGAUGGGUUUUCACUCUACAAUUGAUAUUAAUUCAAAGUUGAAUUGGUGCCUUUUCAUUUUAAGGUUAGCUUUAAAAGAAAACAUAAAGAUGUUUAAAUGAAAAAGGUUUGGUUUUAAACUAACCAAAAAUAGUAACUGAUUUUACUUACAAAGAAAAGUGUUUCUUGGAGUUUAGAUCACUGGGCUCAGAUUCCUUGUACAAAAAGGGAGUUUCGGUCACUUGUUUCUUUCCCUUGCAUUAGAGAAUUAACAUAUAGUUAAUUCUCUAACCGGUGUGGUACAGAUGUUUCCCUUUAAUGGGUUCAAACACUAAAUCCCUCUCACUGAUGCAAUUUGCAAUGGCUCGUGCCUCUCACCUAGCAUUUGCCAUUCAAGGUGAUCUUUAACCUUGGAUUACCCAUCAAAAGCUCGCAAAAGAUAACUAAUGGAUGUCUCCUUGGAGUCCAAAAGCUUACCAAGUGUUGGCUAUUCUAGAAAAUCCUACCUUCGAGUCACUUCCUAAAAGCUCGCAAGAGGUAAACUAGUGCAUUUCCAUGGACGGAGAUCACUGGCCUUACCAAGUGUUGGCUUAAGUAACUUGAAGGCGUUUUAAGUUAACUAAAAAGAUAAAAACCAUUAUCGGGUCACACUUUCUCUUCAUUAAAAACUAAAACAACAAAACUUCCAAUUUAUGCAUGAGGAACUUACCCGGCUUUCUUCAAUCCAAGAGACGAAGAGCCUAGCCUCUCAACCUCUGAGGAAAAAUCCUCAGAGUUUGAUUGGCUAGAAAUAAGAAGAACGAGAAAACAAAAAUAGGAAAAACAAAG
rnacentral:lncRNA from 1 species